rnacentral:lncRNA from 1 species
CUAAGUGCUAUUCCUAUUCCUACUUAUUCUAACACUCUCCUUCAAGCUGGUGCAUAGAAGACAUAUGUACAAAGCUUGUUAUGGAUGUAAUUAACACGAGGAUGGGUGAGGGACUUGGUGAAGAUGUCUGCAAGAAAACUAAUAAGGACUGCUCUUGACGUCUUGGAAACCUCAAUUGAAAAGGAACAAACUAAAAAAGUGAUCCGAAAAGUAGUAAACAUCGCUAGAAAGUCGAUUUGUCACUAGAAAUUUAUAGAAAACUGGUAUAAAAUAUAUGUAUCAUCACAAAAUCAAGAGAUAAGUAGAUCUUGAACAAGAAAGUCACCGGAAACUUAGCCAAAACAUGCUCACACGCCGGAUUAUUAGAUUUGAUGGCUGAAAAGUGACUACAAUCUGAGGAAAAAAUUAUGUAGGUAGGGUCGGAAUGACGACACGACCCUACUGAGAAAGAGAAAUAUGGGUAGGUUCCGAAUGACGGCACGACCCUAUUGAGAAAUAGAAAUUAUAUGGGUAGGGUUGGAAUGACGGUAUGAUCCUACUGGAAAAGAGAAAUUAUAUUGGUAGGGUCGAAAUAAUGGCACGACCCUACUGAAAAAGAGAAAUUAUAUUGGUAGGGUCGGAAUAAUGGCACAACCGCACAUAAAUUAGAUCUGAGGAGUCACCGAAAAGACGUACGGAACUACGUAAAUUAGAUAUGAGGAGUCACCAAAAAGAUGCACGGUGCUAUGCAACUCAGAUAUGAGAAAGUAGUUUGGAAAGAUGCACGGUGCUACGCAAAUCAGAUAUGAGAAAUAGUCACCGAAAAGAAGCACGGUGCUUAGAAAAAUAGAUACGAAAAAGUAGUCACCGGACAGAUGCAUGGUGCUACGCAAAGAUAUGAGAAAAUAGUCACUAGAAAGAUACACAGCGAGUCAGUGACUCAACUUUUGGUAACAUAAUCAUUGGCCAGACGGGCGGCAUAUAUGGAUUAUAAUCGCCGGUCGGUAGCGAAAACUCUUUGAUUCUUUACCAAGAUCGUGAAGCUCUAAUACCAUGUGAGAAAAAUAAUAAUAAGAAUAUUAUUGAAUUAUUGUAACUACAUUAUUAUAUUGAGGCUCUAUUUAUAGACACUACAUUCCAAUCCCUUUCCUAAUAGAAUAAUAUGUUACAAUCCUUUUCCUAAUAGGAUACUACGUUACAAUCCUUUUUCUAGGAGGAUUUUAUAUGCUAUUCCUAUUCCUACUCAUAUUCUAACAAGGGUCUAAGGACAGUUGAAAUCAGUCUUUGAAAACACUGUAUGAAGAGAUGAAUGGAGAAUAACAGAAUCUUUAGGUGUUUGCACGUUAUAGUAGGUCAUGAUUCUUCGUAGUGAUAAUUGACAUUACUCAACAAAUUGAGAAAGAAAAGAGCGAGAUCCUUGUUUAUGGGCUGUAAAAUCCUUUUAUCAAUAUCUUAGUUAUCUUUCUGCAGUAUCCUCUUGGUACUUAUUUAUCAGUAAGCACUUUACCUUAUCAAAAGAAAUAGCAAUAUAGCCGUUUUUUGGGUAGUUGGGUUAUUCAUUCCUCUUGCUUCUGUAAUUGCCUUGAUACAUUAGAUUCACAUUAUUUAUAUCGUCUGAAUGAAGUAUGACAUAUAAGUUAGAGUCAUACAUCAGAACCUAUAUUUUAUUUCUUAUGCUUUCUUUUGUUCAUUUUCUUGCCUUUUUUUUUGGGGUGGUGGGGGUGGGGUGGUGGUUAAAAAUGACCUGAUUUUGAUCAGAGUCUCUCUUUACUUUCUUUUAUGAAUUGAUGUAUAUUUUUCAAUUAUAACAAGUAUAUCACAAUAAGAUUCUUUUGUAAGUCUACCUUAUAAAAAAGAGGAUGCUUAUGUAAGUCUAGUAGGCAUGGGGAUUUACUUCGGUUCAAGGCCUUGUUGGGAUCCACUCAUGCUGAUUCUCUCUCGGUUUGCACAAGUCAUUUUGUCUCAAGUUUUGGCUUAAUCUUGUUUGGUUGUUUGCACUCCAUUUAACCAUGUGGUUGUCAUAGGGCCAAGUACCAGAAGAAUGUUGAAGCAUACCAUAAUAGGAGCGGCGGGAUGAAACCAAACAUUGUUCCUAAUUGCAUUAGAUCAGAAAAUUACGUGAUUACUUUUGAGGUUGAGGAAGAGAAGUAUGUAAUCCACUUACCACCCACUUAUGUUUGAUCUGAUUGUGUUCCUCUUUUGAGGCGAUUAAUGAUUUUCUAUUGUGAAUUUGAUUUCAGGUUUCCUUUCUUUGGUAAGAAGUACCAAUUGAAGUUUGCAAGUGACAUCUCUGCUGAAACUCAAUGUUUGGUUCAUUUUCCGAGCCUGCUCAGGUUCAUGCAGCAAUAUCCUGUGUCAAAUUUCAAUUAGUUUUGUUGUUUUCUGCUACCGUCAGCCACCCUAUAUCUCUAACUAUAUCUCCCUUGAGCCCCACUUUUCCCUGUAAGUGCUUCCAGCAGGGAAGAACCCUGCCAUGCCUCCAAGCAUGAUCCAUGAUGAUACUUCUAUCAUCCAAUGUUCGUCCGUUUGAAGUCAUGCUUUUUUCGGAUAUGGGAAUAUAACCCAAACCUGUUUCAAUAAUGUGAAUCUGGGUAUUUUAUUUUACAAUGUUUUACAAACAUAAUAGCCUAUCCACAUUCAUCUUUGGUUUGUGUGUCAUUUUUUUGAGUUUCAGAUGUCAAAAUUUGUGCUCUUGCAUUUCCAAGAUGGGAGGAAAUAUUAUAGCUUUGUUGUUGUUGUUGUUGCCAAUGUAAAUAAAUCCUAUAAUUAAUUCGUAAAGUCAUAUUCCUCAGGUUGGCCAGAGAGGCUGGCCUUGAGCACAUGGAGAUUCAGAACUUGACAGAUUUUUAUGAUGAUAACAGGUAAUAGAUUGUAAACUACAACUUCACCAUUAUGGCUGUUUCAUUUCGCUUGUUUACCUUCUUAAUCUAUCAUGAAAUUUACCUAAAUUUUAGUCACAUCAUUGAUUAAGCCAUGAAGGUAAAGUGAUGAUCCUUUUGAAGCUAAACUUUUAAAUGUUAUAGUCUCUUGGGUAGGGAAACUAUAUACUUCAUGAUCUCUUUAUGUGAAAAAAUAGUUUAUACAUGCCUUGCAUAGUACUAAGGACGAUGUAAUAUUGGGUGAGGAACGUGUCUUCAAAUCAUCUUUUUCCAUGUUGUGAAGUGUUCUGUACUUGUCUCACCAGAUAUAUAAUAUUUCCUAGUAAGUGCGAAAGAAAAUGUUUACCCAUCACUUGAACCCUUUUCCUUUCUUUAACAAAUUUAAGGGGUGAGUUAUUGUAUACUGACUUUCUUUUUCUAAUUAUAACUAUUUUUCCUUUUGGUAUUAGUGCUUAAAUAAGGUUUAGCAUACCACAGUUUUUAUUGUUUUCAGAAGAAAUAACUGUUAAUUUAAUAAAGUUGCUUCCCUUAGCUUUUUCGGUUCCAUUUUCUUAGAUUAUUAAGUUGUUUCUGUUCAUUUAAACCAUUGUUUCAAGCGUCUUUAGUCUCCAUCAAGAAAGUUCUGAUAAAUUGCUUCAAUCAGAGCAGCUGAUUCUUCCUUCAUUUUACUCCAUUCAUAGAGCACAAUUUCUCGGAAUGCUACAGGAUGCUGGUCAUAACUUUAUUGAUCCUAGGGGCAGACUUCUCCCAAGAUCAUAUGACAUUUUAGGUAAUCAGUCUAUUCAUUGCAUUGACCAUUCACUAAAAUCUGGUCAAGCAUUACAACAUCUUUUUUCUUUUGUAGGUCUAUAUACCACAUUCAUAUUUCAGAAGCCUGAUCCAGAGAUUGCACCUCCACUUACAACUCCAUUUAUGCCUGUUGGAACCCACUAUCUUGACGAGGUACGAUUUUUCCUCCACUUUUGAGGUUUUUGUUCAAUUUCAUAAGAUCUUCAAAGUUCAAACUGUGUAUAGGCAGGCAGCAUACUUAUUCAUGGAAGUCCCCAUAAUUUGUGGUUGGGAAAUAAGCGAUCCCAUUGAGUUACUGUUUGACUCUUUAGAUUAGCAGCAUCUUUGGUUAAAAGAAACCAUCUACAGGAGUAGUUUCUUGGCAAUGGACAUGCCUGUGUUUUGCUUGCAAUGCUUUUCAUAGUGGUCUAGUGUUUAAUCAAAGUUUGGUCUCCUCGUGAUCCAGAUGGAAUGGCAAGUCAUAUUGUGGGAUGAAGAGGAGAAGAGUGGACAGACUGAUUCAUCUACAGGAUUGGGCAAGAUAACUGAGCAAAAAGGGAUUUUAGGUCCUGGUCCUGCAGAGUUGCGUUUCACUGAAGCUAUUUGAUGUGAUGGCGUAGACAUUGGAUGGCAGUUUGAAGGACCGCGGCGGAAGGGGCGUGAAUUUCCAGUCAUUUCCCGUGUUAAAUUAGUAUAUCGUUCGUUUUAUUGUACUAUGGAUAGACAUUUUGAUUAGUGGACUGACUUGAUUGAUGUAUAACGAAUAGAUCCCUUUUGGGGAAAAGCCAGUGUCAAUGUACUAAUUAACAAUGGAAGAUUCUUCACUGGCUUGACAAAAAUUGUACUGCUUCCUGCUUUCUCUGUUGACAAAUAUGGCACAAACCUUAUGUGUAGAUUUUUUGCAGUCAUGUAUUCACAGAUGUCAAGUGAUUCUGAUACCGGAAUUGAUUUCUCAUAUGGUUACUCAACUAAUAUUCACGUAUUCUAUUUCACUUUUCUUCUUGAUUCUGUAUGUGUGUUUUUUUCUAUAAAGAAAGUGAGUUUGAGAUAAUAAUUAUUAGUUGAGCAACAAUAUGAGAAAUCGACUAUCAUAUCAUCAUAGAACUUGGAUCAUUUUGGAGUUUCAGUUUUUGCCUGCUAAUAUUGGCACUUAAUUCUGAAUGAGUAAACACACACACACGCUCUAGGUUUGAUUAAGGUUUGUCAAAACUGUGAUCAAUCUAAUAUUAGCAGGGAAAAAAGAUUCAAAGAAGUAUGUUUUGUAUAUUUGAUGUUUGAAACCCUUUAAUGUCUUUGUUUUUCUAAUUUUUAUUUUAUAGUCCAACGAUUUUCCGGUACAAUCAUGUUUAUGAUCAAAAGAUUGAAAGACAUUUUGAAAUAUUUCACAUAUAUUUUGUUUAAGAUCAUACGAUUUUUGCAGUGCGUUCUACCUAAAUAAAGUGAGGUGUCUGUACCUCACAGCAGUAUGACAUAGUUAUGUAAUGUACUAAACUCCUUUUAUAUAUCCAUCUAUGACUUGUUCUGGCGAAAAAAAGAAAAAACAUCAUUCCAAGGUAAUGUGGCAUAACCAUAUUGAAGAAAAUGUCAUUGUUUGUCAAGUUAAUUUUCUUUCUAAAAAAAACGCUGAUUCUCUUAAGUGAAAUCUCUGCCGUAAGGUUUCAAUUCUCCACAUUGUAAUUUCCUCUUCGUUUUUCUUUCCCCUACUCCCAAUUAAAAGAAAACUAGAAAAUCUCUCUCUUUUUUCUCGUGACAAGUGUAGAAAAGAAAUAGCACCGUGAUUCUCCAGAUACCAUGAUUAAUUUCAAAGUUAACGUUGGAUAUUAUUAUGGACAAAUUAGUCCAAAAUUAUAAUCAUAGAAUAACUUAGGCUGGCCAUAUCUUUCCAGAUGUGAUUAGUUUCAAAGUUAAACGUUGGAUAUUAUUACUUUAAGUGGGAUAAAUUAGUCCAAGAUUAUAAUCAUAGGAUAACUUAGGCUGGCCAUAUCUUUCUAUAUUUGAAGUGGGAUAAAAAAUUAGUCCGAAGAUUAUAAUUGUAGAAUAACUUAGGCUGCGAACGAAAUGACCUCUUUCUUAGCCUAAAAAGCAAAAAAGCCUCUUUCUUAGAAAAAAACUAAUCAAUCACACCCGGUGGGACUAGAGAUCCCACGAUCCCAUAAUCGCCCGAUUAGGCCACGAGUGCUUAACAUUUGCUAUUUGAAAGUAAAACUAUUUUAAUAAGAAAGGAACUUUCAACCGUUACUCUUUAGAUAGUCCGCAAAUCAUACAAGUGAGUUAAACUACAAUACUAGUUAAGUUCUGCACGCGAACUCAACUGAAAAGCAUGCAACUGGUUCCGAGCCUUGAGAUCCUCCCAUCCCUCAUUUAAAAGAUCCUUUACUCAACCAACUCAGUCAUCUUUGUGAUACAAUAUUAGAUAAAUAGUAAGGGUGUCAAACGGGCCGGUUAAAACCGGUCCGAACCGGCCCACAUAAUUAAACCGGCCCGGUAAGCCCAAGGGCUUUAGGGGUCCGGGUCCUGGUUCAAUUGGUUUUUUGAUUUGGGCCCGGUUAACCCGGCCCGGACCCAACCCGGUUUGGGCCCGCCGGUUAACCGGCCCGGUUAAUUUUUUUAUUUUUUUUUUGAAAAUUCAGAAUUUCACAAACUGAAAUUAAAAACUUAGUUUUAAUACAUUAUUAAUUUACUAUCAAGUAUUAUUAAUUUAUUAUAUUAAGUAGCAUAUGUUUUAUACUUUUAUUUAAAGUAGUGUAUAUAUUGAAUGGUAUAUAUAUAUGUGUGUGUAUAUCUUCCAAAUCUAAAGUAGUAUAUAUUUAACGUAUACAUGUGUAUAUGUUUUAUAAAUUAGUAUAUAUAUAUAUAUAUAUAUUGUAGUAUAUGUUUUAUUUAAAGUAGACAAGUAGUACAUAAAUAUUGAAUGGUGCGUAUAUAUGUGUNNNNNNNNNNNNNNNNNNNNNNNNNNNNNNNNNNNNNNNNNNNNNNNNNNNNNNNNNNNNNNNNNNNNNNNNNNNNNUAUCUAUCUAUAUAUAUAUAUAUAUAUAUAUAUAUAUAUAUAUAUAUAUAUUGCAGUGUAUAUAUAUAUAUAUAUAUUAUACUAUUAUAGUAUAUGUUUUAUUUAAAGUAGUACGUAUAGUCAUAUAUAAUUAUAUAUUGAAUGGUACUAUAUAUGUGUAAUUGUUUAUAUAUUUUUAAAAAAAUAUAUAUUGUAUAUUGGAGUGUAUAUAGUGUAUAUUGGAGUGUAUAUCAUUGUAGUGUAUAUAGUGUAUAUUGGAUUUUUUAUUUUUUUUUAAACGGGUUUGACCGAUUUUUAACCGGGUUUGACCGGGUUUUGGCGGGUUUGACCGGGUUGGGUUAAGUGAGUCGGGUUAGGGUGGGUUUUAAUUUUUUUACUGUUGGGUCCAGCCUGGCCCAACCCAUCUAGCGCCAAAAUCGAACCUCUCAACCCGAUUAAAAUAGAAGGGCCGGUUCCGGGUUGGCCCGGCCCGUUUGACACUCCUGAUAAAUAGAGAUAAUUUUGUUUUCCUAUUACACUAUGUCUCCAAUUUUCCAGUCAUUAUUUCUUAAUCAUUUAAAUAUUGUUCAAGGAGUUUAUUCAGUUACAAGAUUUAGCAUUUGGCAUAUAACAUGCAAAUCAAAUAAUUCAUAAGCAUUGUAUCAUGGAGGACUUACUAUUGUACGUUUUAAUAAUGAAAGCAAGAGUUGCCUUACUACUAGAUAAAAUUUGGAAACAGUGUUGAAAAGCAAGGAGGCCUUUUCCUUUACAAUAACUAAUCCCACAGCUAAAGUUUGGAGAGAAUAGAUGUACGCACAUCUUAUUUUUGUGAAGAUAGAAAAGUCAUUAAAACCAUCGGCUCGAAAGAGGCGACCUUUUUCUUAAUAUUCUAUUAUUAUAAAAAGUUGAUGGUUUGAUAUUGCAUUUGAUUUUGCAUAUGGUUCUUUAAGUCAAGCAAAAAGGCACCAUUUAGCGAUGGUAGAUCGAAAGCAAAAUUAGAAUUUAAAAUUUUUUCGACUUACAACAAUCGGACCAUAUAUAAUUUUAACACACCAUUUUUUUUGGGGAUAAUUGUAUAUAUGGCCAUGUUGUCAGAUAAUGUAUCAAUUUUUUGAGUUGUAGUAAAAGAAACAAUCAUUUCUUUGCCCUUUAUGGUUGUUUUCCAAUGGAAUUAUCCAUCAUUAAAAUUGUUUAUAAGAAAUAAAUUUGUAUAUGUGCGUAUUUCUUUCUAACGAACAUGUGUUGCUCAAUAUUGUACUUUUUAGUUCAAAAUGUUUUGCAUUAAAAUUUUAUAUAAAGUAAAUUAAUUCAUUAAUUGAGUAUGAAUGUCCACUUAAUAGUAAAUUUUGAACUAGUAGCUACUUAGGUAAUUGCUUAUAGUAUAACAAACGUAUUAAAAAAAACAAAAUCCCCACAUGUGAUUUUUUAAAGUCACGAACCAUGACUCGAGAAUAUUUAUUAAUUUCAUACUCUUUCCACAAAUAGUCGUCUUCUUCUUCCUUUUAAAAAUAAAUAAAUAAAUAAAUAAAUUGUGGGCAGAGGAAUGAGAAUGGGGAUUACAUGUUGGGAAUUGAACCUUCAUCAAUAAGGUGAGAGUUCAGAUAAUUAACUAACUAACUUAGCUACCAAACGACCCCUAAUAACUUUAGUUUGAAUCUAACAAACAUAGGGGCGAAUCUAUUAAUGAGUUUGGAGGUGCCACGACACAUGUACAGCUCGAUCGAUACAGAAAAUGAUACAAAAAUUAUACACAUAAGUUUUAUUAAUUAUUGCUUCUAUUUUAAGUGCAUGGUGUUUGUUAUGUCUUUGCUUUUGAGUACAAAAUAUGCAUUUAAAUAAGUUUUAGUUCCAAUCAUCCAUUCUUGAGUAAUAAUUUGGGAAUAUGACAAUUUAGGGAAAUACGAUUUUGAAGUUUUUUACAAAUUUGUUUAUGUUUUAUGUUCUUUUUAUAAGCAAUCCUCAUUUUUACGAUUAAAAAACAUGAUUAUUUUUUAAUUCAAUUUGUAAUUGAUCAUAAGAAAUCAUUUUCAAAGAAAUGAGAUCUCUUACCCUCUUACAAUUAGAAUAGAAGAAAAUGAACUUUUUCUAAUCUCUUAGUAGGAAAAUGAAAUCUCUCAUGUGUAGAAAAUGAUGAUUACUUUUUGUAAAAAGGACAUAAAACUAUUUUUUCUAAUGAAACGUUAAAAAAUCUUUUUUCCUUGAUGAAGUUUUAAGCUUUGUUCAAAAUCGUUAUAAUAAUUAAAUUAUUUUAUUCGGUCUAACUAAUAGAAAAGAUGAAUAAUUCUGAUCGAAGCUCAAAAUAGAUCUAGUCGAAGCCUUAGUUAAAACCAUGUGGCACCCGGAACCUCAAUAUCGUGAAUCCGCCUCUCAUUAGAAACACCAACUCUUCUCCUUUUUACUUAUUUACCGUGCAAAACAAGUAACUAAACGCACAGAAACAGUAAGAAACUACAACUUCAUAAACUAAGCUUCACAUCUUAUAUAACAACCCUAUUUUUAACUCCUUUGUUAGCUCACCCACUAUUUAACUCUUAAUAACUACCCAAAACAAAAAACCUAAGUCGGUUUUAUAUUGUGUAGCCACCAAUUAAAACCAUCACUAUAUAUAAUUACUCCAAAACAAAUUUCAAACCAAAACAUUUCUCACCUCACCAUAAUCACCUUCCUCCUUCAACCAUAUAUCAAACAAUACAACAACAUACCGACAUUACCACUGCCUCGUGGAGGUACAUAGGCUGUUUCCAAGAGACCCUCGGCCCAUAUAUCAAACAAUAUGGCCCCCAAAAUGAAGCCUGAGUGUCAAACAUGUUGGGAAUGUGCAUGUCCAUACCAAACAGGUUGGAGAUGCGCGUGCCGGACAAGCUCAGCACCACCAGAAAAAUUAAGAUUUCCUCCAAUGGGUUUCACAGAGAAUGGUUCAGCAACUUUUUUAUCUACUGGGAACCCAUGUUUAGAUUUCUUUUUCCAUGUUGUCCCUGAUACCCCACCUCAAGAAUUAUUGCAAAGAUUGCAACUUUCUUGGAAACGUAAUGCUUUGAUAAUCCUCAAGCUUAUUUGUAAUUUAAGGGGUGUUAGAGGCAUUGGCAAAUCACAGAAAGAAGGGUUUUAUAGUGCCGCUUUAUGGCUUCACAAACACCAUCCUACAACCCUAGUAUGUAAUAUUGAAGCCAUUGCCGAUUUCGGGUACUUUAAGGAUGUGUUGGAGAUUUUGUACAGAUUGCUAUAGGGAGAUGAAGUUAGAAUGAAGGAAGAAAAGAAGUGGCUGAAAAAGAAAGGAAAAGGAUUUUUGGAGGGUUUAAAGGAGAAAAAGGAUAGUGGUAUUCCUAAGAGAAAGACCAAUGUAGUUCAAUGGGAAAAGACACUGGAUAAGGCAGAUAAAUUCUUGGACAGAUACGCACAUGAUUAUAAUUUUCACUACCUGUAUGAGAAAGUCUCUGGUUUCUUUGUUGAUGCUUUGUGGGAAGACAUGGAGUUGUACAAUGAGGGGAGGUUUCAUGAGCUUAGCCUCGCGGCUAAGUGGUGUCCAUCUCUCGACUCUUCCUAUGACAGGUCAUUGCUAAUGUGUGAAAGUAUUGGAAGAAAGCUAUUUCCUCCUGAUCAGUACAUGGAUCUUGAAGACUCUCAUUAUGCUUAUCGCGUGAGGAAUAGUUUGAGAAAAGAAGUGCUCGUGCCACUCCGCAAGGUGUUGGAGAUUCCAGAGGUUUAUAUUUGUGCAAAUAAGUGGGAAGAGCUUCCUUAUAAACACGUCCCUUCUGUGGCCAUGAGAAUGUACAUGAACUUGUUCUACAAGCACGAUAAAAAACGAUUCGAGCAGUAUCUUAAAGAUGUGGAGAGUGGGAAAACAACAAUAGCUGCUGGUGCUCUGCUUCCACAUGAGAUAAUUGCAUCUUUACAAAAUUCCACGGGGCCGGAAGUUGCAGAGCUUCAAUGGAACAGAAUGGUUGAUGACUUGGCAAAGAAGGGGAAAUUAACAAACUGUAUGGCAAUUUGUGAUGUCUCAGGAAGCAUGAGGGGAACCCCAAUGGAGGUUUGUGUGGCUCUGGGGCUACUUAUUUCUGAAAUUAGUGAAGAACCUUGGAAAGGAAAGUUAAUUACAUUUAGCACAGAUCCAGAAUUUCAUAUAGUGAAAGGGAAAAGAUUGUCACAGAAGACUAAUUUUAUUAGCAAAAUGAACUGGGAUGGUAGUACAGAUUUUCAGAAAGUAUUUGAUAAGAUUCUCGAAGUUGCUGUGAGGGGGAACUUGCGUGAGGAACAGAUGAUAAAGAGAUUGUUUGUUUUCAGUGACAUGGAUUUUGAUCAGGCUUCAGCAAGUCCAUGGGACACAGAUUAUCAAGUGAUACGGAGAAAGUUCAAGCGAAAAGGUUAUAACAGGGUGCCUGAAAUUGUGUUUUGGAAUUUGAGGAAUUCAAGGGCAACACCAGUUCCUAGUAAACAACAAGGAGUAGCACUUGAGAGUGGAUUUUCAAAGAACCUUGUGACUUCGUUCUUGGAGGAAGGUGAGAUUUUGAGCCCAGAAGCUGUAAUGAUGCAAGCAAUUUCUGGUGAUGAGUAUCAAAAGCUUGUAGUGUUUGAGUUAUAAAAAGAAAAUGAUAUCUGAAAUUGUAAUAAGAUGUGCUCUUUAGUUUCUAUCUACUAAUGAGAUUUUGAGUUCCUCUAUAUUUGACGUCAUUGAUGUUAUAUAUACUAGCUUCACACUUGUCACAGUACUUAAAUUAAGUUCUCUAUCAAGGUAGAUGAUCUCACUAAUAGAAGGUUUACCUUUUAAGUAAUCUUGAUGAUUCAUUUUCUCCUUAACCAACUGAAUGUUUGGCAGUGUUCCUAUGAAGAGUUUGUUAUUAUCAAGAAGAGAGGAAUUCAUAAGAUAUCAGUCAUACCUGAAGAUAUAUAUAACACUACUGACACAAAAAUGUGAAGCCAUGUUGGAUGACACCCCUCACUGCCUACACAACAUAUGAAAACAACAUACCCAGCGAAGAGGGUAGAGUGCACGCGGACCUUACCUCUACACCUCAGAGGUAGAGAGGCUGUUUCAGAUAGACCUUCGGUUCAAGGGAAAAAUAGUCCAAAGAAUCUGACGCGACAUAUGGAUUAGAAAGAAAAAAGAUUUAUUAGAGAGGGCAUUGCCUUAAAAGAUGGUAUUCUUACAAUGCAAACUGGUAAGCGUUACUUACAGAGAUUUAGAUCUGUUACAGGAUCAAUUAUUACAGUGACAGUUCAACUGGUUUUAUAGCUACAUGAGGACGAUUUUCAUGCAUUCUGUUAACUUGAGAAUACUCUCAUGUUGUGCAGCCAAGUGAACAUACAAAGAUGUACAAACCUAAUUCUCAAGUUCAAUAAUCUUCACUACAGAUGAGUCACCAACUUUCUGGAAAACAACAACUCGGUCAUGCGGCUUUAUAACACCCGCUGUUUUCCCAUGGUCCAGUGCAACCUUCAAUACCGACUCAUCGGUUGCAUUUGUGGACUCAGCCUGAAGAAUGUAAGAACAAAUUCAAUAUUCUCAACAUGGCACAUCAAACAUUCUAACAAGAGGAAAGAAGGUUACAGCAAUUAUGAAGUUAAGAAGGUCAGAAGGAAGAUAAUGCACUACCCAAAGAUACUUCACCCUUCGUUAAAUUUUCCCUUUUUGAUCAAGUUUGGUAUUCCUCUUUCCUUCGGCCCAUGUUUCAAUGUUCGUUAGCAAAAAGUUCGAGCCUUUGGGAUCUUUCUUGAACAGCGGUCACUCAAGUCCUUUUCUUCUGUUGAUGCUGACUUAUAUAUCACAUUUUUAUCUUGUAUACUCAUCAACUUUUUCAUACAUUAUCUUAAAUUAUCUUUCCUCUUAUACUUUUUAUCUCCCAUGAUACAAAGGCUCCUACAAUCUUAACAGCAGCAUAAGUAACUCCCAUUCACAUUGUUUUUUCUUUCUCUAUUUUUAACCUUUUCUGAAAGACCGUUCGUAUAGCUUCACUAUUAUAUCCAGUGACUGAUCCAGUAAUACCUGUCUCUCUUUGGUGACUUUUCCAGCAGCACAUACACCUCUUUCCGGUGACUUAUCAAUCAUUCUAUGCUUUAUUAGGGACAAUUUUGACAGCGCCCUUUCUCGAACCUUUUUCAAUCAAUAAAAAGUUAUUUUCCGUCAGUCAAUUUUUUGCCAAGUUUCUGACAGUUAGAACUUUUCCUGACGGGAUGACGAUGACCGAGAAUUUUCUGACCAGAUUCCAAUGACCAGAACAUAGACAACUAGAUUUUGAUUUUGACUUUAUGGCAAUUCUGUUGAAUAUUUAACUGUAUAUGUCUCCAGAAUAGGCAAACUCAAACUGUUGCUCCAUUAUUUGACGAAACGUGGUAGAAAGCCGCAUGCUUGGAAGAGAAGUGCUUAUUAGUUGUUCAUGGAUAAUUCCUAAUACAAAAAGUAGAUCAUAUCUGACAACUGCAAAUUAGUGUCCCGUGUAUUCUGCAGUUAUCAAAUAAAAUCCAUAUACACCUACUGAAAGACGAAUCAGAAUUAAAGAAAAAUCCAUGUGGGCAAUAUAUACGAACUAGCUGACAUUAAUUCUUAACCAUGUCAUUGCAUACGCUACAACAACCUACCCAGUGUAAUCCCACAAGUGGGGUCUGGGAGGAUAGAGUGUAUGGAAAGCUUACCCCUGCCUUGGGAGGUAGAGAGACUGUGUCAGAUGGACCUCGACUCAAGUAAAAGCAUAUCAAAGCAGAUCGGAAAAGAAAUAACUGAAGUGAAGGGAUCAUGGCAAAACACCACAGGAAGCAUGGCACAUCAUUCUGAAAAAUGGAAUAGUAACUACACCACAAAAAGUGUGGGUAAUCAAAGUACAAGAAAUAGUAGAUAGUAACAGAAAUCGACAGACAAAAAACUACUGGAGAAAUACUACGACUAACUAGUAUGGAAGGGUAAGCGAGACAAUGCUCUACUACCUACCUACACAUUGGGAUAAUGUUUGUAGAGAAUUUUAGUAGUUAAAGACCCUAAAUUAUUUAAUGUUGGAAUGAAACGAGUCAACAUGAAGCGAAAAACAAAUACAAGAUGAGGUCAAGCGACAUUGUUCAUCAACACUUUACAAUUCCAUGUUGGUUAACAUAGUUUUUAAUCAGAAUACAGACCUGUAGAUCUAGAAAGAAAUCACUUAUUAAGGGAGGAACAGGAGAAAAAAUUUCAUACCGGAUGUCUUGGAUCUGCAAGGAUGGGGAAAAUCCCUCUAAUAAUAAGAGACUGCCUAGCCUGUCAUUUAAGUCAUCGAUGCAUUAGACAAAUAAAAUCAGUUUCAUUUACUAUUUGACAAUGGCAUAUCAUCGAUGAUAAUAUGAACUAAAGAAAAAAAAAAGAAAAAAAAGCAUCAGAGAAGAGCUGUAUUGGCAUCCCAAGAAACCUUUUCUUACACCAAGAGUCAGUGUGAGUGAUUAAGAAAUAGUAGGGAAAAGUUGACAGUCUGACAGGAUUUCAAUACUUGCUUCACAUCAGAAAUAGAGGGUAUUUGUUGGAAACACAGUUUUUGCAAAAAUUGACUUUCAAUUUUUUCAAGGAAACAUCAUCAGAGCAUAUGACCAGAAAAUAAUGCACACAAUUAUAGGAGGUAGAAUGAAUCAGAUCCAUAUUCAGUAAGGAUGUAUCAUUAUUGAACCAUGUAGUCAGAAGAAUAGCAUAUCAUCAAUGAGUGAAAGCAGAAGUAUCACAAAAUGAGUGAAAGCAGAUGUACCACAAAAAUCCAUAUAGCAGAAGCUUGAUUCUUAUAUUAUAGGCAUAAAAUGCACUUCAAUUUGGCACGGGUAACAUGAUGGUAAUAGUAAUAUAUAUAUAAGUUGAAACAUAAUUCAAAAAGAAAGUCCUUCGCAAAACAUGACUACCUGAAAUGCACCACUGAAUGUCCAGCGGAGUUGGUUCGUUUUGAGACGAGGAAUGACAACAGACAAUACUGGCAUCAUUGGCCUAUACUUAGCUAUCAAUCUGCAUUAUCAGUAAAACGUUAUGAAUUAAGUUUGCUGCACUAGAGAAUGGACUUCAGGAGAUAGCCUUCUUUGGUGAGAAGGCCUGGUAAAAAUGUCUUUUCAACAGGAAAACACAAUUUACAUCAAUACAUAGCAAAUAUGAUGACCGUAGAGAGAGAGAGAGAGAGAGAGAGAGAGAGAGAGAGAGAGAGAGAGAGAGAGAAGAGAAGAGAGACCUUGCAGCUCUCCCUGAAGAAGUGAAGCAGAUAAUAACAGAUGCCUUGACUUUGAUAGCAGCACGUACCUGAAUCAAACAAAAGCAGUGCAGACAAUAUUCAUGUCAAUACCAGAAUCUUAAAGUCUAUGGCACUGUUUCUCUCCAACCUAGCCAAAAGCUUAACAUCAGCAGCAGAAACAACAUACCGCAGAGGAAGCAAUAGAUUCCAAGUGAGUCAUUGGUUCUCCCACAUACUUAACAGCCCUCUUAAAAUAGACAUCUUGAUUAUAAACCUUUUCUGCCUGUAAAGGGGAACUAAUUUGAGCAGUAGAAAUCUACAAGAGAAUCUCACAGUAAUCAUCUGACUACCUUGGAAUCAACAAGACACCGCCAUGGAGUGCACAAAGUGAAUAUUAAGGCAAAAAUGAAACAAAAAGAUAAGGUUAUGCCACAAUCUCACACUUCUGACUGAUUAGUUACAGAUUUGUUCCUCUCCUGUGCCAUUCUGGCUAAAUACAAACUCGACUGCACUCCUUCAACUCAACUCACAACUUUUAGUAGUUCAUUCAUCCCCCACCCAACAAUAUCUGGUCGAAAAUACACUUGAACCAUGGCAUAUCCAAGUUUGGAAAUUGAGCUUCUCUCCGUAUUUCUCUUCUUUGCAAAGUGAAAUUCAUCACUGAAUAGAUCCUUAAAAGAGAAAUAGAUGGUAAAGAUGGGCCUCGUCAAAUACAUUUCCUAAUUCAUUUAUUCGAUAGCCGUAUGCUUAAUUCACAUCAUGGCAGCAAUUGAUUCUCCCCAACUCGCACUGAGCACGGGCCAUUUAAAAUGACUUACUGGCUAUAUGGCCCACAUUUAUGAGCGGGAAAAAUAGAUGUGCCUGUGAGCCAAUCCAUGUAACUUUGACGUAAGUUAAGACUUCCCCACUUAUGAACUGAAAUCCUAUCAAACAUCUAAAAAUUUCACUAUACAUGAUUAAGGUGCUUUUGGAGCAUCAAUAUCACUUUAGGGGACCUGCUUUAGAAUAUUUAUCUGAUCUUCAGAAGAAAAAUAAUUUUAACAGUUCCACCAUAAGUAUAAAAUAAACAUUGAAUUCAACAUAAUCCUGCUUUCUGUAAGGUAAGACCACAAUCAUGGUAAUACAUCAAGUCAACAUAGCUUUUACUUCUUACGGCAUCAAUAUAGAGGUACAGUAGUAGUCUAUUCACUGUUAGUUCUGAUAUUAGGUGUACUUUGCACUCCACAUAAAUCAUACUUGUUAAAUCUUACCAAAAGUGUUACAUCAAGUCAGAAGAUUUCAGUAGCUAUUGUACUUCGCAGGUUGAUGCUUACAGUUUUAUAGUAUAAAGAACAAACAGAGAACAGGGCAAAGAAGAUUCAAAGAAGGCGAUCGGGGUGUCCAUUGACAAUGAACUCACAAUGGUUGAAUACGCCUUAUGUAGAACAGCAACGAGGUAAGACUUACCUCUGCACAAAUUUUACCAACAGUGGAAAUAGUCUCAACAGGAUAUAGCCCUCUUAGGGUCUCUGCACCUAGAAGAAUUGCAUCACUACCUGGGAUGAAAGAAAAAUAAUAAGAAGCAUCCUGGAGACGAGCACGUUUAUACCUACCACAAGUAUUUGGUAUAUAUAUUACAUGUUGAAAGGAAUCUAUAUAUCAAAUAAAUGUGACAACAGGCCAAUCAAAGAACAGAAGCUACCAUCCAAUACAGCGUUGGCAACAUCUGUUGCCUCAGCACGAGUGGGUCGCAAGUUAUCAGUCAUACUGUCCACAACACGAGUGAUCACAGCAGGUUUCCCAGCCAUAUUGCACUUGUAAACAGCUGCCUUUUGAAACAGAAACACCUGGUGAUUAAUAGAAUCUGAUUAGAACGAAAGAAGUCCAAACAGCAUAACUGCUAAGUCUCACAAGCAAUGGAAAAGGUACCAUGAAACUAUCCCAUGAAACAAAGAAAAAUACAACACUAGGCCCAUCAGGCGCUAUUCAAUCACACGUAGACUAUUCAAAUAUAUCGUGAACCCACUUAUAGUUCGAUGAGAGAACUUUCUUUUUAUGUGCACCGGUGCCUUUGUUUCUUAAGUUUGCCUCUCUUCCUCUGUCUUUAAAUUAGUAACAAAUCAAUGCUCGACCUUUAUAUAGCAUAAAAAUAUUUUAUCCUAUACUCUUCUUUACAAGUUUCCAUAUCCUAUCCCAAAUUGAAACUCCAUGUUAUCAUUAAAGCUAGUACUUGGUUAUAUAAAAUGUUUAAUAAUGAGCUAAUAUCCAUGAACUGAAGUCACAUUCCAGCAAUUGAAACUUUGAUUUCCAGCUUGUUCUUAAGUGCUACAAGUGUUCCUUCAUGUAAUACUGAGAAGAAAGCAAGAAUUGAAGAAGAUGUUUCGGCUAGCUUUGUCAGAUACAUUCUCUGAUGUAACUACAAACUGAACCUCUCACUCACUGCAUAUAGAGUGAAUAUCACUGAAAAGCAUCAAUUAUCACAACUACCAAGGAGCAAAGAGUGAUACAAGUACGAUCAUGAUUGUGGACCAAUACGUAAAGACUCGAGCUUGGGCGGCUGCCCAACCAAUGGAACAAGCUUUGAAGUGUAGAGAACAAGUCCCAACACUCCAAAACCAUCUAAUAUGCACAAUCCAAGGCCUCCCUUUUCUCUUGGCUCAUUAAGGGCAUUCUAGUCAUUUUGUAUUAAGUUGAAACCUAGGCUAUAAAUAGAACAUGUUAGGUCAUUUUGUCAUAACUUAGAUGCUUUUUUGAGAGCUCUUUGAGAGUGUUCAUACAAGUGUGGAUAUCACUUGUGAUAAGUGUGGAAUCACUUGUGUUGGUUGCUUGUUUUGAAACGUUGGUUGCUUGGGGAUUCCGUUCCCUUGAGGUCACCGUAAGAACUUGACGUUAUUUGUAUGAAUUCUUGAGUCUUAGUGUUCAAUAUACACUUUGGUUCAUAGUGUUUGUGCAUUGUGUGUCAAGUUAUCUAUCAUUCUAUCUUAUUAUUGUUGUUGUGUUCAUUCUCGGUUUUGGGUGUCCAAACCCGAGACCUUGUUGUGUCAUUUUUGUUCUUGUUAUUGUGUUGUAAUCUUAGUUUGUGGCUCGUUGAUUAUAGGUGUUGAACGCCUUAGAAUCUUCUUGUUAUCGUGCUUGUAUUGCUAUUGUGUAGUGAAUCCGAGAGGGGUCACCAAAGGGGGUCCUCAGUUCUUCAAAUCAUGGACUGUUUUGGUGUGUGUUAGUGUCUUCCUUGUCGAUUUUGUAUCAUUUGGUAUCAGAGCAUGGCUUGAUUUUGUUCCCACAAGAUCAAUCUUGGGCUAGCUUGCUUGAAUAUACAAAAAAAAAAAAAAGUAGUGUUCUUGAGUUUGGAUCUCGGCCGAAAGUUUGUUGUGUUCUUGUUGUGUUUGGCCGAGACUUGAACAUUAGAUCUAGGAGUCAUUUUGUUUGUCUUGGUGUUUCAAGUGUUAGUUUUCUUCAUCACUAACACUCUUGAGUCAAGAUCUAAAUUUGAGCUUGCAUUUGUUGAAGUGUUGUUGUGAACUUAAAGCCUUAGUCGAUUAUGUUGUCAUCUUGGUGGACUUGGCCGUGAUUUGUUGGCUGUUGGAAUUGGUUGUUGGGACUAUUGUGUUCUUGGUGAUUGUUGAAGUUGUUCUUGAUGUUCUUAAUCCCUUUCAAGACUUGUUAAAAUAAAGUGAAUACUAGAUCUAUAAAGUUGAAGAGAAAAAGGUGAAAGCUUGUUAGUCUUGAAAGACUUUCCAUCACCCAUCAACUAGUCAAUCACUUCCCAACAACUUUCCUUGAUCUAAGGGGGAUGGUACAAAAAAGUCAAGUCUUCCACUUUUGAAUUUGACAAUAGGAUUUCAAGACUUGUUUCCCUCCUAAAUAAAUUUCCACCAAUUUCAAAUCACAAAUUGCUCAAGACUUCCAAUUUUGGAAAAUAAAAUUUGUAAAGACUGCAACCAAUAUGUGGCUGCCACGUCACGUUUUACUGUUCACACGACAAAUUUAGGCUCAAAUUUUUGAUUUCUUAGUUUCUAAUCUUUGUUUCUUAGUUGGAAUUUGUUGAUUCUAUUGCUAAUUAACAAACUAGUAAUUGUCUACUAGGUUGUAAAUUAGUUUUUNNNNNNNNNNNNNNNNNNNNNNNNNNNNNNNNNNNNNNNNNNNNNNNAUAAAAUUCGUUGUAGUUUCUUGGUUCAAGUCCGUACGUAUUUUCUUUGAGUUGUUUCAAAAGAGAAUCUAUUCCGACCUCGAGCCCCAAUUGGGACCAAGUAAUCUCCUUGGAGUAUGAACGAGUUACCAACACUUGUGAGGCCAAUUGAGAGACAUUUCAAAGUGUGAAUGCUUGAGAGCUUGUGAGGAUGUUUUCUUUUCGAACAUUAACUAGUUUAUUGUUUUUUGUGUUUUUGUUUUAGAAUUUCUUUUGUUAGGAACUAUGCCAUUGGAAAAGGUGACCAUGAACGAUUUGAUGGCUGCCAUAAUAGGUAUGAAACAUGACCUUAGUAGCCGAAUGGAGAGAAUGGAAAAAAUAAUGGACCGAGUGGAAGCAAGAAUGGAAGGUACGGAAAACUCUCUUUACAAGGAUUUGGAUAACCUAAUAGAGAAUCCAAGCCUUCCUAAUCAAGUUCUUGUGAGUGGACAUGCUACACAUGAGCUACAAGGUAAUCAAACUAACUCUUGCACUUUAGUGAAUGAGGCUAGUAGCCAACUGAGUGUGAAGGGUAGUUUGUCUUUAGGUGAGCCGAAUGUACCUCCAUUUGGUGAUGAUAAUGUACAACUUGAGAUUGUGGAUACACUAGUUGAUCCAUCUAGUGUUGAGGCCAUUGUGGCAAGUGAUANNNNNNNNNNNNNNNNNNNNNNNNNNNNNNNNNNNNNNNNNNNNNNNNNNNNNNNNNNNNNNNNNNNNNNNNNNNNNNNNNNNNNNNNNNNNNNNNNNNNNNNNNNNNNNNNNNNNNNNNNNNNNNNNNNNNNNNNNNNNNNNNNNNNNNNNNNNNNNNNNNNNNNNNNNNNNNNNNNNNNNNNNNNNNNNNNNNNNNNNNNNNNNNNNNNNNNNNNNNNNNNNNNNNNNNNNNNNNNNNNNNNNNNNNNNNNNNNNNNNNNNNNNNNNNNNNNNNNNNNNNNNNNNNNNNNNNNNNNNNNNNNNNNNNNNNNNNNNNNNNNNNNNNNNNNNNNNNNNNNNNNNNNNNNNNNNNNNNNNNNNNNNNNAAUGGAACAAGCUUUGAAGUGUAGAGAACAAGUCCCAACACUCCAAAGCCAUCUAAUAUGCACACUCCAAGGCCUCCCUUUGUCUUGGCUCAUUAAGGGCAUUCUAGUCAUUUUGUAUUAAGUUGAAACCUAGGCUAUAAAUAGAACAUGUUAGGUCAUUUUGUCAUAACUUAGAUGAUUUUUUGAGAGCUCUUUGAGAGUGUUCAAACAAGUGUGGAUAUCACUUGUGAUAAGUGUGGAAUCACUUGUGUUGGUUGGUUGUUUUGAAACGUUGGUUGCUUGGGGAUUCCGUUCCCUUGAGGUCACCGUAAGAACUUGAUGUUAUUUGUAUGAAUUCUUGGGUCUUAGUGUUCAAUAUACACUUUGGUUCAUAGUGUUUGUGCAUUGUGUGUCAAGUUAUCUAUCAUUCUAUCUUAUUAUUGUUGUUGUGUUCAUUCUCGGUUUUGGGUGUCCAAACCCGAGACCUUGUUGUGUCAUUUUUGUUCUUGUUAUUGUGUUGUAAUCUUAGUUUGUGGCUCGUUGAUUAUAGGUGUUGAACGCCUUAGAAUCUUGUUGUUAUCGUGCUUGUAUUGUUAUUGUGUAGUGAAUCCGAGAGGGGUCACCAAAGGGGGUCCUCGGUUCUUCAAAUCAUGGACUGUUUUGGUGUGUGUUAGUGUCUUCCUUGUCGAUUUUGUAUCAAAGAGAGACCUCCUCGUGAAUUAUCCAAGUGGAAAGAUGAAAGUUAUUUAGGAACUAAGAGACAGGAACAGAAGGUACUGACACUACAAUUCAAUCAUUAGAUGUUAUACUGAUACUAUUCAGGUGACCUUUUGCUCCUUUUUUGACCCAAAAAAACAUUAAAAAGGUAUAUAACUGGCUCAUUAUAUGUUGGCUCAACAUUUCAGAAUGUGUUUGGAUAUUAUGGUGUAUAUGGGGGCAUGUUGGUCAUACCCUGCUUGUUGAACCUGUUUGGGCUUUUCUUUUUUGCUUUCUUUCUUUCCCUUUUUUUUUUUUUUGGUUUGGUUAAAUAGUUUUUCCAGCUAGUUUUUUUCCACAUUUUUUGCUUUUAUCUAUUUAAAACAAUAUUGUUACUCUCUCAAUUUUAUUUUAUUUGGGUCACUAAAAUAAUUUUUCUUAUAAUUUAUGCUUUUUCUGCCUUUAAUUUGAAGUUUCGAGUCACAACACAUUUUUAUGGUAGAUUAUGACAUUUUGCUUAAAUCAAUAACAUAAAGGAAUAAUGGAUUAUCGCCCUUCUAGGAAAAAGAUCCGUGCAGAUAAAACAGUGACAUCUAAGCACAAAUCAGUUGAAGGCAUGCAAUACAUUUCAGUACUCUAAGACGAUAAUGCCUCAUGGAUGUACGUCAAAACAGAUCCCAUUUAUUUUCUCAUUAUACACAAACUUUUCAUCCCUAAAAUUCACUCACAUACACCCAAAAAAAUCUCUCUGUAACAUUUGGUGUUUGAAUUAGUAGAUCAGUUGAAUGACCAUUAAUGAUCUGCAACUUAAAUGAGGGGGCUGCUUAUCGUCAUCAAUAAUAUGUCACCAGAAAAGACUGAGGACAAUUCACUUCAACCAAAAAAAAAGAGAGAGAGACAGAGGAGAAUCACUGGACCUUCUCAGGUGGUAGAUCUAUUCCUAAAUUUCCACGAGAGAGAAUUAUGCCAUCAGCUUCUCUGAGAAUCUCGUCAAAGUUUCCCAUUCCCUGUAAGCAGAUGCAAGGGAAAUUUUAUACAAACUGCAAUGUUAAAUCAAUACUACGUGCAGGUUUUUAUGAAUAAGUCCCAAAGUAUUCGACAGGUAACUAACCUCCACAUUUUCAAUCUUAGCAAAAAUCUGUGUUUGAUUAAGAUCUCCCAACUUGGAUAGAAAUUCACGAGCCUGAACAAGAACAUGAAGAACCACAUAGAUUGUUAUGAAAUAUGUUUAUUCACUUCUAAAGUGAUAGCAUAGAAGAGGUCCAGAUCUUACAUAGCUAAGAGAAAUGCUGAAAGUAAUAAAGUAGAAAAUAGAUUCUAUAAAAUGACCUUACAUGUCGAACAUCUUCAGCAUUUCGUGUGUAUGACAGUGAAAGGAUAUCUAUUUUGUUUCGAAAAGCCCAACUGCUUAUAACCUAAAAUAUUUGCAAGAUAUACAGCAUAAAAUUUACCGUUAGACAGAAUAUCAAAGUUUUAAACAAAUUUGGCCAAUAAGUUCUGCAGAGUUGUUUUUAAAUGUGAAUCUAAAUGAGCAAACAAAUUUUCAUCCCCAAAAUAACCAAAGGUACUUAUUUUCUCGUACUGCAUACACAAAAUACUUGGAGCCUCUCAGACCAAUUUUAUGGGGCACAAACUUUGAGAGCAUGAAAGAAUGAUUCAAAAUGAUGGUCUUCGAUAUUAGGCAACAACAGACCUUUUUAUCUUUGUCAGUGAGAGUUGGCAAGUCAAUACGGAUCUGGGAAACAUGUAGCGUGUACAAUGGUCCAGCCAAGGUGGCAGAAUUUUUAAUCGAGCAAACAACAUCCUCUCCAUUCACCUCUGUAACCUGCAUUGUUGGGAACUCUUGAAAUCAGAAAUUUAACCAGUUUUAACAUUGCUCACAUCUUUUUGCACAUUGAUUUCCUGCAUCAGCAGAAAGUCUAAACAGAAGGCCCAUGCAACUCUAAGAGUACCUACGCUAUGCUGUCACAAAUGAUAGUAAAGUGCCAUACUCUAGCAUUGGCUCUCUCUCUCUCACACGCAUUAUUUUGGUGUGUUGUGGGAACAGGUAGAGAGGAUUGCACAGUGAUUGUGGACAAAGUAUUCUCAUAUUGAUGAAACGAAAUAAAAGUGAUCAUCCCGCUGGUCCAAACAUUUAAAGUAUUAUUUUUCAAGGUUGUCUCACCUCUAACCACACAGAGGUAGUCUCACUUCCCGUGAACAAGUACUGACCAAUGAAAAUAGUAUCUCCAUUCUUCACUGACUGCAAAAUCAUGAAAAUUUAGCAUCAGAACAUGCCAUGGUUCAUUCAUAGACGGGAACUAAAAUCAGUAUGCUUCUACAUUUACAGUCUCGGAUGUAAUUUUCCAGCUAUCACUCUAACUUUUGAGAUUGGAUAUUAAUUUUAAUACACUCGUCACCGGUGGAUUCUCCAGUUCAGUAGAAGCUUAGGCCUUCUUAAGUCCAUAUGUCUCUUGAUCACUAAUCCCUAUGGAUAAUACUGCAACCUUGUUUUAGGGUUCACAAUCCUAACCCACAUGCAAAUUAACAGCCACUGUCUGCUGAUGAUCAAGUAAGGAAUUGACUAAUCUAAAUUUCCCAGGAAAAAAGUAAGAAGGUUCAACCUGACAAUUAACAUGAUGUGAAUAGCACACCAGUCUAAAAUCUCUUCCUCUUGUUAUCGUUCCCCUGAUAAGAGUCAAUUCAACUUCAAUAGUACAUUUAUGCAUGAUAUGCUAGAGGAAACCUGGAGGUGCAGUUCCAAUAAACUUCCAUAAAGACAUAUUAUACUUUUAUGCAGGAUAUGCUAAGGGAAACCUUGAGGUGCCGUUAACUUCCAGAAAGACAUACUUUGCCUUGUGGAAAUUACCUUUGAUAGGCCACUAAAAUUAAUUGGCAGUAGAUUUGGCGUAGCCUCUUUAUCUUGAUCAGGAGUUAGGAUAACUAAGGAAUCUGCUUGGAGUGAAAUUGGGUGUUCGCUCUUAUUGACAACUUGUAAUUCAGGACCACCAGUGUCUAGCAUAACCUGAAAAGAGAAGGAGAAUAGUUGGUCAUAACCAAUUUUAGAAGUAAUAUACUCAGACUUAUAUAGACAGAGAAGUUCAACUUAGUAUGGAUACCAGGAACAAUGAGCUUACCGCACAGAGCUUCUUAGAUCUUUUGAUAGCUGUCCUUAGAUUUUCCAAUGUCUCUUGGUGAAAUUCAGCAUCACCCCAUGAAAAGUCAAAUCGCGCCACUAAUAUACACAACAAGAGAAGUAUUGGAUCAGUGGUGCCAAUGUUCUUUAUUAGCUCAGUUCCAGCCAUUCAGCAUCUUUCAAGCAAAAGGAGCACACUGAAGGCUACUAACAAGCUUUUGAAAAACACCAUUUUUUAAGUUGUAUGAACUGAAGUUGCAAAAGUACUCGCAAAACCAGAUCAUUUAUGAGGUAAUUACAAGUAAAUCUUUUUUUUUUUUUUGAGGAGGUAAUUACAAGUAAAUCUCUUGCUAAGUAUUAUUGGUAAUCUGAUUAAAAUGGUAACUAACUUGCUAUCGCAGGUUAAAAUUCACUAGAUCUUUACUAUCAAUAUAUAUAACUUAAAUCUAUCUCCACCAUAUUCUAUCACUCAGUUAAGCCUAGCCUAUAUGACUAUUGACUAGUUCUAUUGCCCAUCCUAAAUUAUAUCAAACGAUACUUGGUAGGAUGCAAGUAUCAAUUUUGUUUACAGAUGUAAGUCCGGCCCUUUCCCGGACCCCGUGCAUAGCGGAAGCUUUAGUGCACCAAGCUGCCCUUUUUUUUCAAAUGUAAUACAGGAAAAUUACUUGUGAGAAAAUAUUUUCCACAGUUUUACUUACAUUACAGAAACAUUCUUUUAUUUGGCAAAAAAGAAACAAAAUAACAACAAAAAGUCUCUCUUUAUACACAAAUAUAUAAAAUGCUGAUGUCUUAAUUUAAGUCUCCCCUGGUUUAAUGUUCAUUAGUUGUUUGUUUGUCAGCUUUAUGAAGUUCCCUUUUUUCUUAUUCACAAGUGAAAGCAUUUGGAGCCUUGGCACAAUGGUAAAAGCAGCUGGUGUGACCAGGAGGUAAUGGGUUCAUGCUGCGGAAAAAGUCUAUAGCAAAAACGCAAGGUGAUAUUGUGUCGUAAGACCCAGUGUGGUCCAUCUCUUCCCCGACUAGCGCAUAAUGUGAGGUUAGUACACCAGACUGCCCUUCACGAUAAAUGGGAGUUUUCUUUCUAAUUUCAAGUUUUUUGUCAAACAUAUUCAUUUUAGUUACUCAAAUGACCAAUUUAUCACCACACAAGCAUCAACUCUUCCCCCAUAGCUAGUUUUUUGUCAAACAUAUUCAUUUUAGUUACUCAAAUGACCAAUUUAUCACCACACAAGCAUCAACUCUUCCCCCAUAGCUAGUUUUUUGUCAAACAUAUUCAUUUUAGUUACUCAAAUGACCAAUUUAUAAUCUCCACCGAACGUGAUUUCGGACCCAGAGUGCCAACAAUCUUGGUCAUUGCUGGAAAAAAAUUCUGCAAAAUCAUCAUUUAACAGAUCAUCAACAAUAACAACAUACACAGUGUAAUCCCACAAGUGAGGUCUAAGGAGGGUAGUGUGUAUGCAGACUAAUAGACCCUCGUACAAGAAAAAACACAACCAAGUAGUCUCGGAAAAGAAGUUCCAGAAGUGUAGCAUGACAAAGUAAGUUAAGGAUAAAAAAUACACCUUAAGUAUCCCAAUUUUUUGAGUUUUCUACCUAAUCUAUCACCAAAUGUUUCUCAAAACACACCUCAACUAUCAGUUAUUCACUUUUCCUAGCAGCAAUAUCACCAGGUAGAAAAAAUGAACAAAUAGUUGAGGUGUGUUUCGAUAAACAUUUAGUGAUAGUUUAGGUAGGAAACUCACACACUUGAUAAUUCAUGUAUGAAACUUAAAAAGUCGAACAUUUAAGUGUGUUUUUGACCCUUCAGUCAAAAGAAAAAAAAGUGUCUACAACAAAAUGAUACUAUAUCGAAGUAUGAGAAGUGACAAAUAGUAAUAAAAAUCGAAAAAAUAAGAAACUACAAGAGUAAUGCUACAGCUAGUUGUAAAUUCGACAGAUCAUAAACCACCACAAAUCAAACAACAAUAAUCACUUCAAGCUCAUACCAUCAACAAACAUAUUACAAGAACAAUUCUCCAAAGAAAAAAAAAAACACAACCUCCACAACUAAAAAGCAAAAUGACAAAGUACAGCUCCUGAGCUCCACGCAUUAAAGCUCCUAGCAUGGCGGAUUCAGGGAAGAGCCGAACCACGAAAUAAAAAACCUCGCAAAAAUAUCUAUGUAGACCAGAAUUAAUUAAUCUACGGUGAAUCAAACAAGUCAAAUUCUAGUAAUAAUAGUAAUAGUAAAAGAAGAAGAAUUCACUUAAAGGCUUUGUAGUAAUAUCUACAACAAAUGAUACUAUAAUCGAAGUACAAGAAAUAACAGAUAGUAACAAAAAUCAAAGAACAAUGCUACAACUACAAGUAAUUUACCAGAUUACAAACCAUAAAUCAAACAACAAUAAUCACUUCAAACUCAUAGCGCAUCUGCAACCACAUUACAAAAAACAAUUCUCUCAAAAACAAAAAACAAAAAAACACAAGUUCCACAACUAAAAAGCAAAAUUACAAAGUACAACUCGAUGCACUAAAGCUCCUGUUGUGCGAGGAAUCCAGGUAAAGGCAAAACCACAAACUAAAAAAACUCAUAAAAAAGACCAUUUUUUUUUUGGUAAAUAAAAAGACCAAAAUUAUGAACCGACAGAGAAUCAAACAAGUCAAAGGCUUUGUAGUAGAAUCUACAACAUAAUGGUACUAUGAUCAAAGAGCAAGAAAUAACAGAUAGUAACAAUGCUACAACUACUAGUAAAUUUAACAAUUCAUAAACCACAAAUCAAACAACAAUAAUCACUAAAAUCAACAACCACACUAAAAAAAACAAUUCUCAAAAAAAAAAAAAAAAACACAAAUUCCACAACUGAAAUCCAAAAUGACAAAGUACAGCUCGGUGCACCAAAGCUCAUGCAAUGCACAGGAUCCAAGAAAAGGCCGAACCACGAACUAAAAAACCUCAUAAAAAAAUCUAUAUUGAGCAGAAUUAAUGAAUCGACAAGAGAAUCAAACAAGUAAAAUCUAGUAGUAGUGGUAGUAGUAGUAUCUACAACAAAAUGAUACUCUAACCGAAGUACAAAAAAUAACAGAUAGUAACACAAAUCAAAGAACAAUGGUACAACUACUAGUAAAUUUAACACAUCAUAAACCACAAAUCAAACAACAAUAAUCACUUCAAACUCAAAUUCCACAACCAAAAACCAAAAUGACAAAACACAAGUCGGUGCACUAAAACUCCUGCAAUGCACGGGAUACGGGAAAAGGCCGAACCACGAACUAAAAACUUCUUAAAAACAUCUAAAUACAGUGAAUCAAACCAGUCAAAUCUGGUGGUAGUAGUAGUACUUAAAGGCUUUGUAUACUGUAAUCAAAGUAUAAUGCUACAAUUACUUGUAAAUUGUCAGAUCAUAAACCAUAAAUCAAACAACAAUAAUUACUUCGAACUCAAAUUCCACAACUAAAAAACAAAAUGACAAAGUACAGCUCGGUGUACCAUAGCUCCUGCUAUGCACGGGAUCCAGGAAAAGGCCGAACCACGAACUAAAAUAGCUCAUAAAAACAUCUAAAUUGACCAUAAUUAUGAAUCUACAGUGAAUCAAACAAGUCAAAUUCUAGUAAUGGUAAUAGUAAUAGUAGUAGAAGUAUUUAACUUACAGGUUUUGAUGGCUCGAGAAUCGAGGCCAUCCGAACAGGUUCUUCGAGUAGCAAGUUCGUCGAAUGCAUUUUCUCCGGUAGCCGGUCACUGCAGCAACUUCGGCGAGUGAAUUCAGCUCAAAGAGGAAAGAGUACAAUAAUGCAAGUAAAAAAGAUGCUAAAAAUAGUAAAGUACUGUAGAGGCCGGGAAAUACAUGAAUACUAGUACUAAUAUUUAAAUAACUUUUCCAUUUCUGAAAAGACGUUUUCUAUAGUACUUUCUAAUCUUUUUCUUUUCUAAAAAUAUUUUCUUAAUUCAGAAAAAAAAAAAAUAUAUUUUCUUCAUUAUUAAUAUACUUUAACCUACAAAUAAAGAGUUAUUUAAAAGUUAAAACUAAAUUAUGUUUAAAUGAUGUUUAGUGACAGAUUAAAAUGGGUACGACACUAGUGAAAAUAAUUGCUCCUAUUAAGUAUAAUUAAUUUUGUGAUUAUUAUAAUUAAUUUUGUGAUUAUUUACUGUAACACUUUAUUUAUAAUUAUUUUAUUAGUGAUUGAAACAUAAUAUUUAUCAUAAAAUAAUAUAAAACAUUAAGACAACAAAGAUAUAAUUAAAGUAAUGAUAAGGGAAAGAUGCUUGCUUCUCCUUGACGUACAAAUUAAUUAAAUUAAAAAUUUCUUAAUUAUAAAAUAAGUUGUUGCAAAGUUUUUUAUGAGCUACUUGUAAGUUGUCUACUUAAUGAAAUUAUUCAAAAAAAUAUAUAUAAUAUACAUUCACAAUAUAGUGUAUUUAUAAUAAUAGUUUUAUACUAUGAUGUAUAAACUCAGAAUCUAUUUAAAAUUGGAUACAACUUCUUUAUUUCUAAUUAAAAGUUUAUAUUCUAUUGGAGAGCUCUAGUAUUAAAAAAAAAAAAAUGGUCAAAAGCAUCCCCAAUCUGUACCCCAAAUUCCAACUACACACUCAACCUUUAAAGGUAACUUAUUACCCCUGAACUAUUUUAAAAUAGAAUUACUACCCCUGAACUAUUUUAAAAUAGAAUUAUUAACCUCCUCAAAAACUGACAAUCAGUCAUUUGGAAUAUGGUGUGAUGCAAGCGCUGUCACGUCAUGCCACGUCAUUUUCACGUCAUUUUUUCUUUUUUUUACUCUAAAAAAAUUAAUUAUUUAACUUUAUUAUUUCCUUUUGAGAAAAUGGUCAAAUACCCCCUAACCUUUACCUCAAAUUCCAACUACACAUUUAUACUUUGAGAGAGUUCUAUGACGCCCCUGAACUAUUUUAAAAUGAAAUUAUUACCCAAAUUAUUUUAAAGUGGAAUAUAUACCCCUCUAAAAACUCAUACCCAGAUUUUAUUUUAAUCUAUGGUCUACACGCGCUGCCACGUAAUUCCACAUCAUAUAUCAUUUUUUUACUAUAAAAAAUUAAUUCCACGUCAUGUCACGUCAUCAUCAUCGUCUUCUUCUUCCUCCUCUUUUUCUUCUAUUCUUCUUCUUCUUUAAUGACAUAAUGAAUCAUAUGCAAUUCACACGAUAUGUAAUCUUAUCAAAAUCAAAUCAAUAAUUAAUGUCCAAAAAAUAUUCGAUUUUCACAAAAUGGCGUCGCGACAGUGAUGGUGCCUCGACAGUGAUGGCAUCGAAAAAUUCAAAAUUUCGGUGACUUUAUUUUUCAAUCUGAAUUAAUUCAACAUUAUCACAUAAUUCGAGUUCUUGGAUGUCAUUGAAGAAGAAGAAAAAAAAAUAAUUGUCAUUGAUGGGUUCUUGGAUGUCAUUGAAGAAAAAAAGAAUUGAAGAAGAAGAAAAAAAUUAUUUGUCAUUGAUGAGCUCUUGAAUGCCAUUGAAGAAGAAGAGAAAAGAGAAAAUUUAAUUGUCAUUGAUAGGUUCUUGGAUGGUAUUGAAGAAGAAGAAAAAAGAAAAAAUUAAUUGUCAUUCUUGAAUGCCAUUGAAGAAGAGGAGGAAUUGGAGAAUAAGAAGAAUGUAAGAAGAAGAAAAAAGAAAAAUAAUAAUUAAAAUUAUAUAUAUUUAUUUAAAGAAAUAUUAAAAAAAAAUUAAUAAAAUAUUUUUUUUCACUCUCUUGCCAUGUCAGCAUUGGAGUGGUAAUAAUUUUAUUUUAAAAUAACUCAGGAGAUCAUAGGACCUUUUCAAAGUAUAAAUAUGUAGUUGAGAUUUUGAAUAAAAGUUGGGGGUAUUUGAGCAUUUUCUCUUUAAAAAAAAAAAAGCAAAGACUAUAAAAUUUUUGGGGUGUAUUUUAUUUUGUCAUUUUGUUUUUGCUGUUAAUAAUAGGAGGAGAUGUCGAUACAGUGAUAUGGAUUUUAAUGGUGGUCACCACUUAUCCACUAUUAUUAUUUAGGAAAAAUCUUUUUUGAAAAAAAGAACAAGCAAAGAGAGAGGGGAGAAAAAGAACGGUUAUUGUGGUCACAGAAAAUUUUACAUAUAUAUUAAAAAUUAUUAAAUACUUAUACACUUUAUCUGUGAAUUUAAUUUAAUAUUAAUAUAUUAACUCCAAGUCGUUGCAACGUCAUCAACAAUUCAACAUAGUGAUAAUUGGGUCUCAUAUUUAUUUGGUUUCCCACCUAGGCAUCGGUUGAUUGAGUGUAUAAAAAUAGUGCGAAAUAUGAUGUAUUAAUAAUGCUUGUAUUAGUAAUGUUUGUGUUAAUUAUGCUUGUAUUUUUCUUAUGCAGUGUUUGAUUCGAUGUAUUAAAAAAAACAUGAAUUACAUAAUUUCUAAAAGAAAAAAAAAUCAUAAUACCCUCAAUAUAUAUGUUAGAAAGGAUGCGGAAUUUUUUUUUAGGGGUAAUAGAAUCUUUAAACAUGUUAAUGCAUGCAUUAGAUCCAUUGCAUUACUAAUGUCAUGGAUUUUGAGUUAUUAGUAAUACACACCUCAAUACACAAUAGAAUGUAUAAUCAAUACUUGCAUUAGUUAUCCAUUUAUUUUUUUUUACUUUUUUUUUUCGGAGGGAGGGUUGUGGCGUUUUAUCCGGUGUCCAGUACCAUAUUGAAAGUCGACUAAUCCAAAUUUGCAUCGGAGCUCCAUUGGUUCCGUAUCCAUUUUGAUUUGCCAUUAAGGGUAAAUCAUUUCUUAUUAAAUGCAAUUUUAUUUUGAGAAUUUGAAUCAGAAAUUUUAAUUAAAAAUAAAGAGAUAUACUUAUCACCACUACAAUUAUUGAUGAUGGUUAGUGUGGCUAACAUGAAAAAAAUUGUAAUAUUUAAAUAACCAGUUGUCGAAAGAUGGAGUGACGAUUUUUAGAGCAAAGCUAGAAGUUUGGAUACGAUUCAAUCGAGCUCAAUAUUUUUUUUUCUCAAAAUGAUAUAUUUACAUUAAGAAAUUCAUUAAAUCCAUAAAAAAAUAUUGAAUUCAGAAUCCGAGUAUUAUCAUUCAGAAUCGUUAUAUAAAAUUUCAGUUGAGAUUUUACAAUGACCAACUAUAUUAGCGAUCACAACAUGUUAUUAUUUGUUUUUUAAUUGUGAUUUGGCAUGUACGAAAAUAUAAAUUUCUUUUCUAUGAAAGUAAUAGUAGAAGAUGAUUUGGUUUGUGGGCCGUGUUAUGUGUAUUUGUUUGUGGUUUGAAACCCGGCACGUAAGACUGUUAUGUGGGCCGAGCCAGGUCAACCCGAAAUCGGCCCAUGUCAUUUAAUCGAUUUGAGGGCCGGGUCGGGUUCGGAUUGAGGUCUAAGUGGGCCGAGCAGGGCUAAACGGUAAAAAAAUUAAAAACAAUCCUAACCCGGCCUACUUAAUCCAAUCCGGUCAAACCCACCUAAAUCAGGUCAAAUCCGGUUAAAAAACUGGUCAAACCCGGUCACAAAUAUAAAAAAAAAAAUGAAUAUACAUUAUAUAUAUCCACCUAUAUACAUUAUAAAUACGCUAAACAAUAUAUAUACACUAUAUAUAUAGUAUAUACUACAUUAGAAUUUAAAAAAAAUAUACACUAUUACACAAAUAUACGCACCAUCCAAUAUAUAUAUACUACUUUAAAGUUUAAAUAAAAUAUACUACAAUAUAUAUACAUUACAAUAUAUAUAGAUAUAGUUAUAUACUAAUUUAUAAAACAUAUACACAUAUAUACAUUAAAUAUACACGUCUAUAGAAGAUAUAUUCACAUGUAUACACUCUAUUCUGUGUAUAUGUAAUGCUUUAAAUUAAAUACACUACAAUAUAUAUACAUUACAAUAUAUAUAGAUAUAGUUAUAUACUAAUUUAUAAAACAUAUACACAUAUAUACAUUAAAUAUACACGUCUAUAGAAGAUAUAUUCACAUGUAUACACUCUAUUCUGUGUAUAUGUAAUGCUUUAAAUUAAAUACACUACAAUAUAUAUACAUUACAAUAUAUAUAGAUAUAGUUAUAUACUAAUUUAUAAAACAUAUACACAUAUAUACAUUAAAUAUACACGUCUAUAGAAGAUAUAUUCACAUGUAUACACUCUAUUCUGUGUAUAUGUAAUGCUUUAAAUUAAAUACACUACAAUAUAUAUACAUUACAAUAUAUAUAGAUAUAGUUAUAUACUAAUUUAUAAAACAUAUACACAUAUAUACAUUAAAUAUACACGUCUAUAGAAGAUAUAUUCACAUGUAUACACUCUAUUCUGUGUAUAUGUAAUGCUUUAAAUUAAAUACACUACAAUAUAUAUACAUUACAAUAUAUAUAGAUAUAGUUAUAUACUAAUUUAUAAAACAUAUACACAUAUAUACAUUAAAUAUACACGUCUAUAGAAGAUAUAUUCACAUGUAUACACUCUAUUCUGUGUAUAUGUAAUGCUUUAAAUUAAAUACACUACAAUAUAUAUACAUUACAAUAUAUAUAGAUAUAGUUAUAUACUAAUUUAUAAAACAUAUACACAUGUAUACGUUAAAUAUACACGUCUAUAGAAGAUAUAUACAUGUAUACGCACCAUUCAACGUAUAUAUACUACUACUAAUAAAAUUUACUUCAAUAUAUAUACAUUACAAUAUAUAACUAUAUAUAUAACUAUAUAUAUAACUAUAUAUAUAUAUAUACAUACAUAUUGUAGUAUAUAUAUAUGUAUAUUGUAGUAUAUAUUUUAUUUAACAUAUGACAUAUAUAUUGAAUGGUGUGUAUAUAUCUUAUAUAGAUGUAUAUAUUUAACGUAUACAAGUGUAUAUGUUUUAUAAAUUAGUACUUGGUAGUAAAUUAAUAAUAUAUUAGAAGUAAGUUUUUUAAUUUAAAGUAAAAAACUAGAAAUUCAAUUUAAAAUUUUAAAUCAUUAAAUGAAAAAAUAUAAAAAGUAAGGACUAAGGAGUGAAUGAAUUUGGGGAAUUUUAUUGAUUGCAAAAUGAUCCAAGAUUUAUAAUUUAUAUAAAUGAAAAAUCUACAAAUUAUGCAUCAUUUUUUUUAACUCAUGCAUCAUUUUUUUUAACUCAUGCAUGUUAAUAUUAACCGGAACUUGCAUAGGAUAGUCGAAGUCAACGGGGGCAAAACCAUGCAUUGGACUUGAUUCUGCUGAGUUCUCCCGUGAAGGCAUAAUUUCUUCAAGUUUCAGCUCGUCGCUCGGCUCAGGUUCCAUUCCUUGGUUUCUUAUUUCCGCUCUAAUCCAAUCUCUGAGGCAACUAGAACAUUCAAUGCAUUGCUUCCCAAUGAGUGUCGGUUGUCUCCAAGCUGUUGUCGUUCCUGACUAAAGGCACUCUCUGAUACAACGGUUGACAUUGGAACAUUCAAGAUAUCUCUAGCUAAUCUUGAAAGCAUAGGAUAUUGUGUUUCAUUACUCCUCCACCAAUCGAACGUGUUGAUCCGUCAUCUGCGAUCCUCUGGUGCUGACCGAAGAUAAUAUUUCAGCUCUUCCCGGUAAGUUGAUGUGUAAGCUCUCUCAUCAACACUGUUCCAACAAGUUAAAUCAUAAAAGGAAUCAGGAAAACCACUAUGUGCCAGCAUUUUAGAAGAUAAUGGCUCCUCGGGAGGAUGAGGAGUGACAGUUAGAGUGAUAUUUGUAGGUACGGUUAAAUCAAAUAAAUCAGCAUAAUGAUUAUAUAAUUUUUUUAUGUAAUCCUUUGCAUCAUUCAUAGCCAUCCACAAAUCAGGUUGUACUUGUUCAGAAUCAUGGUCAAUAUUUAUUUCUAAGUUAGUAUAAAUAAUAGUACUAAAGUGACACGUAUUAUUAUAUUUUAUGCACGGAUUUAAUAUAGCACCAACCAAGUAAAUAGGGGGAAUCGAGAAAAAAUAUUUUUAAAAUUUAGUAAACAUGGCACCAAUAACUUCUUUAUUUUUAUAUUCUUUGAGCAAACCAGAAAUAUCGGCUAUAGAUGAUAAAAUAUUAUAAAUAGUAGGAUAAUAAGCACCGAAAAAUUCAACCGUAGCAACAUAAAUUUUUUCUAAAAACUUAACAAGAUCCUUAAUCACAACCCAAUUAGAAUCAUGUAGCAUGCAAUCAGCAGAGUCAGCAAAUGAACCGCAAUGUUGGUUAAAAACUAGUGUAAUAGGAAUGCUAUAUUUAUAACAAGUUUUUAAAAAAUCAUACGUUGAAUUCCAUCUAAUAUCAAUUUCCCCAGGCAUCAAUAUCGGUGCAAGUCCAUUUUCUUGACAUUUAACUUUAAAAUCUCUAAUUCUCGAUCUACGAUUAUUUCCUUGAAAAAAACCAACAACAAGAUGAAUUUUUUCAAUAUAAAGUUCAAAAAACUCAAGACCAUCUUUUACAAUUAAAUUAUAUAUAUGACAUGCACACUUAAUAUGAAAAAUUUCAGGCAACGUCGGAGAUAACGUAGAUUUUAAUUUUUUAUUGUAGUUUUGUUGUUAGAAGCAUAAUCAAAAGCAAUACAUAAAAUUUUAUUUUCGAUACCAUAAUAUCCGGCAACUUUAACAAUAGAAUCAACAAUAAAAUCUCCAGUAUGUUUACGAUCUUCAUCAUAUAAAAACGCAAGAAUACAUUUUUGCAUCACAAAAUUACUAUCCAUCCAGUGACAAGUAACGAUUAAAUAAUCAUUUUUAUUUACAGCACGAUCAAGAUCAGAAGUUAAGGACAAUCUACAUUGAAUGUUUUUUAACAAUGUUGAUAAAUAAAAAAAAUAUUGUGAAUGAAGUCUAAAAAUAUCAGAUCGGCAAGUACUUUUAGGAAUACCGUUAAACAUAGGAUUAUAAAUUACUUGUAUAUAAUGAAUAAAGGCACCAGAAGAAGGAAAAUUAAAAGGCAAAUAACCCACAGUUACCAUUUUAGCUAUUUCUUCUUGAUCCCUCAAUUUAUUAUACUUCUUUGUUACCUGACCGGUUGCUGGGUCCAUUCUAGUUUGCGUUGGCCCACCAACAUCCUCACCACUUCGUGCAAUAUUUAACUCUCUUUCAUGAGCUUCACUUAUAUGUCUCAUUAACGUACCUGUACCCCCUUGUUUGCCUCCACUUCUAUGCUUAUAUAUUUAUUGACAAAUAUUGCAUUGCACCUCAGCAUCUGAUAUACGUUCAAAAAAUUGCCAUGCAACACUAGUUGUUUUACGAGGUCUUGUGGCAUGGGGAGGACAGGGAGGGAGAUUAACCAAUUCAGAUCUAACGUUAGCAUUUCCUACUGCGGGUGUCUCACCAAUAUUUUCAUUUUCUUUGUCUAAAUUAACCGCAUUUACUUCAUUUUCUUCUUCUAUACCGUAAUUUUCUUGAGCUUCUACAUAAUUCAUAUCGUGAGCACCUAAACCUAUUUCUUCCUCAAAAGGUGUACCAAGCGGUACUGGAGGCGAAGACACACGGGUAUAUCUACUACUUGAACUACCUCUACCGCUAGUAAUUCGUUUUUUAUUACCACUACCACUUCCGGGACAAAAAUUUUUAACACCUUUAGUAGCGAAGUUUCUUAAUUUAUCCAUAGUAUAAAUUAAAUUAAACUAAAAAAAUUUAAAAUACACAAAUAUAAUAAAAUUAAAUAUUAAACAAUUAACACAAUAAAUAAAAAUUAAACGUACGAGAUGGAACGACAAUACCAAAUUUUAGAAGUAUCUGAAGGUUGCGAUUUUAGAAACUUCCGCUCGUACUUUGUAAACGCAAAAUUAAAAAAUUAAAGUAAACACUUUAAGAAAUUAAAUAUAUUGAAUAUUUGAUAAUUGAGAAUUGAGAUUUGAGAGAGUGAAAAAUUGUGUGAAAAAUGAUUUGAAGGUGUAGGAUAUUUAUAGAUUUUUUUUUGGGAUUAAAAAAUAAUUUUUAAAGUAUUUUUUUUUUUAAGAAAUGGGCUCAAACUAGCCGUUUGGACCCAAAAACGGCUAGUUUGGCCCAAAACUCAAAAAUAAUAAUAAAAAAAAUUGAAUCCGGGCCGGGCCGGUUUACCGGCAGCUCUGGACCGAGCUAGGUCCAGGCCGGAUUAAUCGGGUCCAAAUUAAAAAAAUAACUGGCCCGAAAUUUAAAACCCUAAAGCUCUAGACUUACCGAACUGAGUCAAACCGAGCCGGAUCCUUCAAGUGGGUCGGGUAGGGCCGGGUCAGCCCGACCCACUUGACAGGCUUAGUACAUGAUCAAUAAUAGCAUUACUAAUACAUGAUUUUGUUGCUACAUGAACCAAUGGUUUUGAAAGAAAGACACGAGCAUAGUAGGAUGUUAAGAUUUGAGAACGACUAAAAAUUAUAAAUACAUUAUUUUUGUCUUCACAAACUUGAUUAUCACUAAACUGUUAGCUUGUUUUCACCUCACCUUAAUUUGUCACCUAAACAUAAUGAAUUAGUAUUAUUGGACGUAAACUCUCGAUACGAAUAACUUUUUGUCCGAUUCCGAAUAGUCUUGUCUACCUUCCAAGAUUGAAAGAACAUAAAAUUUACAAUCCUCAUAUCAAAAUUAUUUGUUCAUAAUUCAACAUGCCUAGAAUGAAUUAUUUUUAAAUUGGUUAAUCCAUUACUAUUUGCAAAAAAUGAACUUAUAAUUAAACGAGAGAAGCAACAAUAAUAAUAGGUAAAAGAGAGGGAGAGGUGAGGGUUCAAUCAAUUAAUAAGUAUUGAAAUGACUAAUGAAAAUAAAGCAAAAGCCACCAACAGUGGUAAAGUUUGAAACCAUAAAAUGGCAAGCUAAUAAAUCUAUAAUAAGAAUAAGCUAGAGGUCGUAACACGGUCCUCAAGGAUAAAAGAUAGAUAUUUUGAUCAAACAUAAACAAAUACUCAAAAUAAGUAAUUUUGAAGAGAUCAAAUUUUCUGUAAAAACGAAUUCUUGCUUAAUUAAAGGAGAUCUAGGCCACGGUCCAAAUAGUCCCUUGGAUGUUCAAAACCCAUGAUUUUCCUUCUCAUUAUAGAAGAUUAGUACUUCGUCAUUCGCAAAUAUAUUAUUCGGUUUGAGUUUAUGAAGAUAGGUCUCUCGUAUGGUAGCUUUGGUCCAAAAUUCUUUGACCAUAAUUCUUCAUUACCCAUAACUUAAAAGUGCUCCUUAUAAUUCCUAUUUGUAUAAUUGGUACAAUAAACACAAAGCAAUCCACCUAAUGUUGAAACCCCAUGAUCUCCAGAAAAUGUCUUUAAAAUACUGUUGAUUUCCUUUGACAACGCUAUCUUUUCAUACACCUCAUUUGAAAUACUAAAUGAAAUUAUGAAAUAAUUAGAUAACCUAUCGAUGCCGAUCCAAUUGUCAAUUUUCUACUGAAUGUCUUUCAAUACUGAGAGUCUUGUCAUUAAAUAGAAAAUAUUCAAUGAUUACAUCUCUAAAGAUCCGUCUUCCUAUCCCUAAAGAUUAGCUUUUCUAUCCCUCUAAAUCCGCUAUUCUAUCCCACCAAACCUGCUCUCACUAAAGUCACUAUUAUUCUCUUUAACUACUAAAUCAAAUCUAUGUAAUUACACUAAUAUACAACAAUAUAUGAUUACAUUAAUAUACAAUUUUUACAUCAUGCUAACAUCCCCCUCAAAUUGAUGCUCGUAGAUCAAGAAGCAUCAAUUUGCCGGCAAGAAACUGAUGUCGUUGUCAUGUCAUUGAUUUUGUAAAUGCAUCAGCUAUUUGAAGAUCACUGGACUCGUGCGGAAGAGUAAUGACACCUUUAUCUACAGCUUCUCGUAUAUAAUGACAGUUUACUUCGAUGUGUUUGGUCCGCUCGUGAUAAAUCGGAUUAGUAGCAAUCUGAAUAGCACUUGUAUUGUCAGCAUGGAGAGGAGUAGGAUUAGAUUGAGGAAAUCCAAUCUCAGCAAGUAGUCCACGAAGCCACACAAUCUCGGAGCAGCCUCUGUUGAAGAUUUUGACACGCGGUCUUGCUUCUUACUCUUCCAAGAUAUCAAAGACUCUCCAAGAAACAUGCACCAACCAGUAACUGAACGACGAGUGUCAGAACAUCCCGCCCAAUCAGAAUCACUAAAAGCAUUAAGACGAAUAGGCGAACCACUAGAAAAGAAUAAUCCACGAUUAGAUAUUCCUCGGAGGUAUCGAAUGAUGCGACGGACAACCAUCAAAUGAAGAUGACAGGGAGCUUGCAUGAACUGACUAACUUGUUGAACUGCAAAAGAGAUAUCAGGCCUGGUAAUAGUAAGGUAAUUUAAGCUCCCAACUAAUUGCCGAAAUAUAGUUGGAUCAGGAAGAAGAUCGCCUUCCUCCCGUCGAUACUUUACAUUCAAUUUUAAUGGAGUAUCCACAGAGUAGGAAUCUUGAAGACCUGCCAAAGAAAUCAAAUCUUGGGUAUAUUUGUGUUGAUUUAGAAACACAUAGGAUGAAUCACGAUGAACUUCCAAAUCCAAGAAAUAUGUAAGAGUACCAAGAUCUUUCAUAUGAAAAGAAUCCUUAAGUUGUUGCUGCAGGCUAGUGAUUAGUGAAGAAUCAAUUCCUGUAAUAAUAAUGUCAUCGACAUAUACCAAAACAAGAACACAACCUUUGGAUAUUUUCUGAAGAAACAAAGAUGAUUCAUAGUUGCUCUGCUCAAAAGAGAAUUGUAGCAAAGUAGACCGAAAUUUGUCAAACCAAGCUCUGGAGCUUGUUUUAAUCCAUACAAAGACCGCUUUAACUUGGAUACAUCUGAUGUAGGAAAUGAGAACAAACCUGGUGGAGGUUUCAUAUAAAUAUCCUCUUUGAGAUCACCAUGAAGAAAAGCAUUUUUGACAUCCAUUUGAUAAAGAGUCUAGUUUUGUGAAGAAGUAAUGGCAACAAUAGUUCUCACCAUCGUCAUUUUUGCUACCGGUGCAAAAGUCUCUUCAUAGUUCACACCAUACUCCUGCUUCUUACCAAGAAUAACCAAUCGAGCUUUGUACCGAUCAAGAGUUCCAUUAGAAUGAAAUUUAAUUGAAUAAACCCAUUUACAUCCAAUUAGAUGGACAUUUGAAGAAAAUUAAACAAUAUCCCAUGUGUCAUUUUCUUUGAGAGCCAAAAUUUCUUCCUUCAUUGCCUUCUGCCAACAUUCAUGCUUAGAAGCUUGUGAGUAAUAAGUUGGAACACAAAUAGUGGAUAAAGUAGAUGAAAAGCCAUACCAAUUAGGAGUACGAGAUACUCUCGGAGAUCAUCGAGUGGGCUUAAGAGAAGCAGACCUUGAAGAAUUCUCAGAUUCUAGUUGUGGUGCAGUUUCAGGUGGCGGAUCAAUAUCAGGAGGGGGUAAAGUUGACCGCUGACGUUCGUACACAAAUUCGGGUUUGAACCCCUUAGAUGAAGAUGACAAAUUUUCAAAAGUAGGAAGAAGAGAAGCAGGAGAUGACUCAACAUGGUAGGAAAAAAAUACAGAUUCUCAAAGAAAAUAACAUUUUUAGAAACAUAAAAUUUAUUAGAACAUGAAUCAUAACAGAGAAAACCUUUCUGUGAAGUACUAUAACCCAUAAAAACACAUUUAGUAAACUGAACAGAAAUUUUAUUACGCUGAGAAGGAGGAAGAUGCACAAAACAAAUACAACUAAAUGUAUAAAAAUUAUCAUAGCUUGGAUUUUUGUGAUAAAGUCAAAAAUAUGGAGACUCAAUAUUUAACACUUUAGAUGGCAGUCUGCUAAUUAAAUAGACAGCAGUAGACAAAUUUCAACCCAAUAUUUAGAUGGGACAGAGGACUCAAUCAAUAAAGUACGAGUGACAUCUAAAAGAUGGUGAUUUUUACGCUCAGUGACCCCAUUUUGUUAUGGUGUAUAUGGACAAGAGCGUUGUGAGACAAUUCCUUUGUCAAGAAAUUUUUCUUUGAAUUCAUUUGACAUAUAUUCUCCACCAGAAUCAGAUCUUAAUAAUUUAAUACAAGUAGAAAAUAGAGUCUCAAUGUAAGCCAAAAAUAUCUUGAACAUGAAAAAUACUUCAGAUUUGGUACGAAGAAAAUACACCCACGUAAAUCGACUAUAAUCAUCUAUAAAUGUCACAAAGUACUUGAACUGAGCAUGAGAACCAAUUGAUGAAAUACUCCAAACAUCACUAUGAGCAACAUCAAAACACUUUGUAGUGCGACUACCCAAAUUAGGAUAAGGAAGAAUUUCACUUUUGCCUAAUUUACAAGUAGAACAAUCAAAUUAAGCAGGGGAAAAUUGAUUUUUACUUCCUAAUAAACCAGAAUUUGAUAAAUAAGACAACACAACAAAAUUUGGAUGUCCUAUACGCUUAUGCCAAAGCUCAGUCUUAUUAGCUGUAGAAGUACAAGCAAAAGAUAUAAUAGGAGGAAUGGAAAAUUGUAUAGGAAACAAUCUUUCAACUUUAGGACCCCUUGUGAUUAUCGUCCCCGACACUUGAUCCUGCACAAGACAACCAUUACGAGAAAAAUUUAUAUCACAAUUAUCAUCAACCAAUUGUCCAACUGAAAUAAGACUAGUUGAGAACUUCGGUGAAACAAAAACAUUCUUGAAAGUUGGAGCAAUAUCCCCAAGCUUGGUAAUGGGUAAAUUACUCCCACUAGCAACCUGUAUUUGUGAUGAACCUUGAUACUUACGAACAUUUUUUAGCAUGCUUGUUGAGUUGGUCAUAUGAUUGGAAGCACCAGAAUCAACAAUCCAAGAAUUAGAUUUAACAUUAAUACCUUGUAAUCCCAAUGCUGAAAAGGCUGAUACGAUCAUUUGUUGUACCAUUUCAGGAGUAAGAACUUGUCCUGAAGGUCCUGAAGAUAAGUUCUCAAGAGUGGAACCAUUUAUUGCUGCAUGAAAAUUAUUUACCUUACGAUUCUGAGGGCGUGUGGGACACUCUUUGAUAAUGUGUCCUUGUUGUUUACAAUAAUUACAGAACUUCUUGCCACAAUUUCUAGCAAUAUGGACAUAUUCCUUGCAAUUAUAGCAUUGAUUUCUAUUCAUAUCCCUACUCAUACCUUUACCUUGAGCAACAAAUGCAACAGCGACAUCAUUUCCUCUUCUGAAAGCAUUUUGUGUGACAUAACAUUGCUCUUCACGAAGCAAUUCCCUAAAACAAACAUCCAGGGGAGGGAGACGGAUCACGAUUCAUCAAGUUAGAGCGAACACUCUCAAACUCAGAGUGUAACUUCAUAAAAAAUUGAUCUCUCUUGCUUUGCUCAUGAACUUGCUAAAUUACAGAGAGAGAUUCGGAAGGUAUUUUGGCAUAAACAAUAUCUGUAAAUUCAGCCCAUAAGUUCUGAAAUCCAGAAUAAUAAUCCUGAAUAGAAAGACCUCCUUGAGAGUAAUUAACAAUUUCAUACUCUAAGUAAAAGCGUCGGGCACUAUUAUUUUGGUUGUAAACCUUUUGUAAAAAUCCCACAUGACCUUAGCUGUCUUGUAAGGCCUGAGAUUAGAAACAAUAAGAGGGUUAAUUGACCCUAAAAGCCAUGUCAUUACCCGAGUAUCUUUAAUCUUCCAUUCACCUAACUUUGUAGGAUCAGUAGGAGCAGGAGCAGCUCCAUCUAUAUGGCCCAUAGUUCUUUUCCGGUGACAAAUAAAUGAAACUAAAACUCUCAUGAAAAAAAAAUUCUUUCCAGUGAAACGAACUCUGAAUGAUUCAAAUUGAUAUGAACUCAUAAUUAUGAAAACUAGAAACACUAAGUCAAAAAGAAUAACCAAAAUGACCAAGAUCAAAGUCCUAGGUGUUAAUUGUUGAGGAACAAUCAACAAAAAUCAAAAUUUUCAAAAUAAAUUUUGAAAGAAAACAUAAAUGAACUCUAUGAAACAAGACAACCAAGAGAAGGUUUUGAUACCAUGUCAAUUUUCUGUUGAAUGCCUCUCAAUAUUGAGUGUCUUGUCAUUAAAUAGAAAAUAUUCAAUGAUUAAAUCCCUAAAGAUCCGUCUUCUUAUCCCUAAAUAUCAGCUUUUCUAUCCCUCUAAAUCCACUAUUCUAUCCCACCAAAUCUGCUCUUACUAAAGUCACUAUUAUUCUCUUUAACUACUAAAUCAAAUCUAUGUAAUUACAAUAAUAUAUGAUUACAUUAAUAUACAAUAUUUAUGUCAUGUUAACACCAAUGACCCCAUGUAUAAAUUCCAAAGUGUCCAUACAAGAUAACUUAUAAAUGUGAUCGCCACGUGGAAGUUUAUUAAUUUUUCUCCGGGAACCACUCUUCAACGAAAGAAUUUUGAUGAAUUAGUGAUUAAGAAGCAGCAAAGUUAGUGAUCAAGAAGCAGUAGAGUAUGAAGAUUAUGAGAAUGAUGAAGAUGAAGUAGUAGUAGUAGUAGUAGUAGUAGUAGUAGUAGUAGUAGUAGUAGUAGUAGUAGUAGUAGUAGUAGUAGUAGUAGUAGUAGAAGAAGAAGAAGAAGAAGAAGAAGAAGAAGAAGAAGAAGAUUAGAGUGGAAUGAGAGAAGAAGGAACUGUCAAUCUGUAUAUUCAUUCUUAUGAGUAGUACAUAUAGCCUAUGUAUAUACAGAGUAGUAUUCUUCUAGAAGAUAACUAACGACCUUCCUAACUAACUCAUGCAACUAACUGAUACUUAGCUCCUUUGUUACAUUUGUAUUAACCUAUCUCCUUAAUACCCCCUGCAAACUUUGUGUUGUAAAUAUGUUAGCAAGUCCAAGUUUAGAGAUUAAGUAUUCAUGUUGGACUCUUUUUAGACUUUUUGGUUAGAGCAUCUGUAGGUUAAUCAUGUGUUGAAAUAUAUUCAGGCUUUAUUAAGCCAUGUUGAAUCUUUUCUCUAAUAAAGUGACAAUCUAUUUCUAUAUGUUUAGUCCUCUAAUGAUACACAAGAUUUGUUGACAUCUGAAUUGCAGCUUUACUAUCACUAAAGAUUGUAAUUGGUAACUGAAUCUGAAUUCUAAUAAUUGAUAUUAAGCCAACAAUCCAAGUAAGUUCAGCUACUGUAGAAUCUAGACUCUUGUACUCAGAUUCAGCUGAGCUUCUAGACGUAAUAGCCUACUUCUUUGACUUCCCUGAGAUGAGUGAAUCACCAAGCUUUAUAGUGUACCCUGUGAUAGAUUUCUAAGAGAAUGCACAAGCAGCCCAGUUUGUAUCACAAUGAGCUGUGAGUGCAUCCUUUUUGUUGCUUGACAAUAGUAGUCCUGGUCCUAUUUUUUCUUUGAUAUACUUAACAAUUCUAAGAGUUGCAUUCAUAAACGACUGUUUUGGAUUCUGUAGGAAUUGGCUUAGUGUUUGUACACUAUAUGCUAUAUUUGAUCUGGUUACUGUUAGGUACAACAGCUUGCAUACAAGUCUUUGAUAGGCACUUUGGUCAGCAAGUAUAUCACGAUCCUGAUCAGUUUCCUUGAUAUGUUGAUCGUACUUACUAGUGGUUAACUUUGUAGUAGUGUCCAUAGGUGUAGGAGCUGGUUUGGCAAUACUAAGUCCAGUUUCAGAUAUGAGUUCAAGAGCGUACUUUCUCUGAUACAUGACAAUACCUUAUUGAGAUCUUGCAAACUCAAUACCUAAGAAGUAUCUUAGUUCACCUAGGUCCUUCAUCUUAAAAGCAUUGUGUAGUAUUGUCGUUGUCUUUAAGAUUUGAUCUAGCUGAUCUCCAGUAACAAAUAUAUCAUCAACAUAUUUUAAUACAAUAACCAAGCCUUCCUCUGAUCUCUUGAUACAUAAUAAGUGAUCAAACGGACUCUGCCAGAAUCCAAAGUUGAUCAAGGCUUUAGGUGGUUUUGCAUUCCACUAUCUGGGAGCUUGUUUUAGACCAUACAAGGAUUUUGAGAGUCUGCAUACAUAGUUAUGUUUCUCCCCCUGACUCUGAAAUCCUUGAGGAAGGUUCAUGUAGAUUUUGUCCUCCAAAUUACCUUGUAAAAAAACAUUAAACAUAUCCAUCUGAUGGAUGUUCCAGUGUCUAGCUACAACAAUUGUAACAAUUGUUCUUAAGGUCACCAUCUUAACCACAGGACUGAAAGUCUCUUGAUAAUCAAUCCCUUUUUUUUUAGCUAUAGCCUUUAGCAACUAGACUUGCCUUGAAUCUGUCCAUCUCUCCUGUUGACUUAUAUUUCACCUUGUAUAUCCAUUUGCAUCUAAUUGGCUUCUUGCCUACAGUUAAAGGAACCACUUUCCAAGUGUUGUUGCUUUCAAGGGAUGCAACCUUAAUUUGCAUAGCUUCUAUCCAUUUAGGAUCCUUGAUAGCUUUUGUAUAAGUUGUUGGUUCAACAAUGACACAAACUCUUUCAUCCAUCCAGGAGGAUGUGAUUCACUUGUUGAUUUUCUCUGCCACUCUUGAGAUUGUCUAGCAGUUGUACUUUUAGUUUUGUCUAGUAGUAGGAAUAUAUAUUGUUCUUGUGGUUGCAGUUGUUGUCUGAUUUAUUGUAGAAGAUGGUAUUGCAGUGGACAAAAAUAGCUGAAGUGAGCUUAUAACAUCAAUAGUUGACUGUUGUUGUAUAGGUUCUUGAGAUACAGACAACUCAGUAUCAGCUCUCUGAGUCAUAGAAUUAUCAGUGUCUAGUAAUAGAUCUUGAUCUGUCAUAGGCAAAAUUGCUUCAGGUGAUUUGAGUAAUCUGACUUUUUAAUCGAAAUAUAUCUUCUAUGAAUAUGACAUCCCUAUUCACAAAAAAAAGUUUUGUUAGUCAGAUUAAGUAGAUUGUAUCCCUUCUUAGUUUUUGAAUAUCCCAUAUGUAUAGCAUCUCUUGAUCUAGACAUAAGUUUAUCUGAUUCAUUAACAGUCAAUGCAUAGCACAGACAACCUAACACUCUUAAAUGAUCAAGGGAAGGCUUCCUAUUAUACAAUUUUUCAUAAGGUGUUACAUGACCAAUUAUAGGUGUAGACAGUCUGUUGAUUAAGUAGAUAGCAACCUUAACACAGUGCCCCUAAUAUUUAAGAGGAAUGUUAGCCUGAAACCUUAUAGCUCUAGUUAUUUCUAACAGAUGUCUAUAUUUUCUUUCAGCAACUCUAUUUUGCUGUGAAGUAUAAAAACAAAAAGUUUGAUAGUUUAUACCUAAAUUAUUAAACAAUUCAGCGCAUAAACUAUUUACAAACUCUGUUCCAUUAUCAGUUCUCAAGGUUUUUAUGCAAGUAUGGAAUUAAUUCUGAAUGAAAGAAAGGAAAUGCUUAAGCACAACAAACAUAUCAGACUUUAAUUUGAGUAGGAAGAUCCAUGUCAUUCUUGAGUAAUCAUCUGCAAUAGUAAGAAAGCAUUUAUGACCAUCAUAAGUAGGUACUCUAUAGGGAGCCCAAAGGUCCAUAUGGAAUAAGUCAAAGGUCUUGUCACUAACUGAUGCACUAGUUGGAAAAGGUAUCCUAACUUGUUUAGCAAAUGGACAGAUACUGCAUGUAGUAAUUUUAUUUUUUGUUCCUAGACAUCUAUUCAGUAUUUUGUAAGAAACAUGGCCAAGUCUUUUAUGCCAUAGUUCCACAUUAGUAGUAUUUGCAGGUAUCACAUUGAAGCUGCUGGUUCUUUUAGUUCCUGGUAGUCCCUUAUUCAGUAAUAAGUACAUAAUCCAUCUCUUUCUCUACCCAUCUCCUUCACUUUUCCACUCUAAAGAUCCUGAAAUACUCAAAAGUUAAGAAAAAAGUAGUUGAACAUUGUAGCUGUUUAGUAGCUUUUGAUACUGAUAAGAGACUAUAUUUAAAUUAUGGAAUAUGAAACACAUUUGUGAGAGAGGUAUUAUUAGAUAUGUUACUUGUUCUAGUAUGUGUAACUUGUAAAACAUUACUAUUUGGUAAUACCACCUUCAUAGGGUGCACAGACUCAGAUAUUGAAUCUUGAUUCAGAAGAUUAAUAUCUGCAGUCAUGUGAUUAGUAGCCCCUACGUUAAUGAUCCAUUCUUGUGGAUCAUUUGUAACUAGCAGGGAACUAUAAGUACCUGACAAGUUUGCAGAGUUAGCUGAGGGUGUUGAAACUGAAGUAGUUAUGUUAUGCACUGGAACUUAGUUCUGCAAUAUUUAACAAAUUUUCUCAUAUUGUUCAGGUGUGAACCUUGGUAGCAUGACUAUAGAUCCUGUAUUUUGCAUGUUGUAGGCUGACUGUGAUUCUUGAGUAACACCCUAAGAUUGUAUUUGCAGUGGCUGACAGUACCAAUCCUCAGCUAUAGCAUUGUGUGCACUAGGACCAAUUCUUCUUUGCUUGGAUCUGUGAUCAUACCCUUGUCUGUGACCAUAGUUGUUUCUGGUCUCAAUAUUCCCUUUGGAAUCACCAUGCCUAGGGUUCCCUGGUGCAUAUCCAACCAACUGAAAACACUCACUCUUGUAAUGUCCCUUUAAUUUGCAGUGAUCACAUACUGUAUUUGUAUUAUAGUUGGUGUAUAACCUCUUUUCCCUUUUUGAUUUGCACCACCUGAGUAACUGGACUUAGAGUACAUGGCUACAACAUCACCUAUAUUAGGUGCAGCACCAAGAAGACCCGUGACAUUGACAGCUUGAGCCACAGACUUCUGAAUUUCAUCACUCAUAAUUAUGAAGUAUGCCAUGUUAACAGUAGGUAAGGGUGUCAUUAGCAAUAUCUGAUUUCUUGCCUGAGAGUAUGUGUCAUUUAAUCCCAUCAGAAAUUGGUACAGUUUUUGCCUCUGAAGAUACAACAAAAACUCUCUUGAUUUCUCACAAUUGCAAGCAGGGGAUGGCACCAUAAAAUCAAAUUCAUCCCACAAGUUUUUUUAGCUUAGUAAAGUAGACAGAAACAGACUGAACUACUUGAGAGAUGGUAGCAAUUUCUUGAUGGAUAUUAUAGGUUCUUGAACCAUUAAUCUUAUCAAUUUUUUUUAAAUCUUGCCAAACAAGGUGUACAUUAGAUGCAUACACUAUUACACCAAGAAGAUCAAAAGAUACAAAAUUCAUUAACCAUGAUAGAACAAUUAUAUUUACUCUUUACCACUGAUUACCCAAUUCUACAGAGAAACUUUCUUUUUUAGAAGAUCCAUCAAUAAGACCAAAUUUAUUACGCCCUAAUAAUGCAAUUCUAAUUUCUUUACUCCAAACAACAUAGUUCUCUCUUUCUUUCAACUGGAAUGAAACAAGAGAGUUACCAAAAACAUCCGCAGCUGAUAGGUGCAGAGGAUGAUUAAUAUACAGAAUUGGAGAUGAAUGGGAACUGCUCUGAGUAGGAACUGCAGUUGAAUUCAUGGCUUGAGAUUCUGAUAAUGCCCAACAGAUUCAAAUGAAAUGUGAAUUUCUUGAUAUCAAGAAGAAUAUGGGAUCACGUGAGUACUGAUUUGAAUCAGUGAAGCUCUGAUACCAUGAUGAAUUAGUGAUUAAGAAGCAGCUGAGUUAGUGAUCAAGAAGCAGUAGAGUAUGAAGAUGAUGAAGAUGAAGAAGUAGAAGAUUAGAGUAGAAUGAGAGAAUAAGAAACUGCCAAUUUGUAUAUUCAUUCAUAUGAGUAGUACAUGUAGCCUAUGUAUAUAUAGAGUAGUAUUCUUCUAGAAGAUAACUAACUACCUUCCUAACUAACUCUUGUAACUAACUAAUACUUGGUUCCUUUGUUACAUUUGUAUUAACCUAUCUCCUUAACAAAUUUCAUAGGGUACUCCAAGACCAUUGCAUGUCUUUAAUCCGAAGAAUCUUAUAGUCAUUACUAGUUUAGUCAUAUCUCAAUCCAUAUUUUGAAGAACUUGCUGGAUGAAUUACCGGGCUAGGAAGUACUAUUAAUUCUCCUGUUCAUGGGUUCCACAACAAAUGUUCACCAUAAAACCAAAGAAGAAACAAGUCACCGCAACAACAUAAUAUUAUGUAGCAUCACGGUCUGUGCUGAUGAUAAAGAAGAAAAAUACUAUAAAACUAAAUAGGGCGUUUUUAACGAAGAAAAAGUUUUUGAGAAUUUUGAUUAUUCUUUGACAUGAUUGAAAUGCUUCUCCUUAAAGUUCAACUCAGAGAUUAAUGUCUUCCAAAAUUUUGAAGUACAAGAAGAGACUUCACAGGUAACUUGCUGAGGAUGUCAAUAGUUAUUUCCUCACUGAUGUGAAUUUCCGUGGCCUAGAUAGGACAAAACAGGUGCUUUAGUUGUUCACUAUAUGUGUGUAUACGAAAAACAAGAAAGAUCCGAGAGACAUCAGUGACUUUCACUACAAAAAAUAGAAAUUAGUGAUAGACAAAUUAUGUAGCUAAGCAUUAUAGCAUUUCAUCAUAACUAUGCAAGGCGAAACGCUCGAGAUAUUUUAUAACCCUGCAAAGAUCUCCUAUACGUUGAUUUAUUUUCACAUCUCUUAGUAUGAAAAAGAAGGUCUCUAAAAAAGACUAUAAAAUUGAAAAUAAAUUUGUAAGGAGAUAUAAAAAAAAAUCAACCUCAAUUUUUGUGAUCAUAUUUGAUUGGAAAUGAAAUUUAAAUAAUUACUUCUGAUAUCUUGUUCAUUCUUAAAGUAUAUAAUUCUAAUAGCCCCAUUUUAUUCAUUGCACUCAUUCACUCUAAUGACCACUUCGAACAUUAUACUUCUUUAGUGUAUUAAACUCUUUCAUUUCAGUCGCUUCUUGAUUAAAAAAUAACUUAUUCUUAUUAGAAUUAAGUAGAAAGUACUAGCUCUAAUUAUUCAACUGCUUUUGAAAGAUGGAUAAUUGUUUUUCAUUGUUUAGAGGCUAUGAUUUUAUUGUUGCAAACCAAAUGGUUCAGAAGAAAUAAAAAGUUGGAUAUGAGAAUAACAGGAGGUUGAAGUUUGAGAAAAAAAUCACCAUAUGUGAUAUAUUUCUUUUCUAGAUUGAAUAUUUUAAUGGUUAUUCCACUAUGGUUAUGUAUGAAAGUAACAAAGAAUAAGAAAUAGCAAGAUAGAUUCUAUAAUGGGGUAGUGUAAAAUUAGUAGUCUUUUAUUAUUGAUCAUGGCUAUUUAUAGCCAAAAGACAGAGAUGGAAACUUAUCCAAAUACAAAGAGGUGGAGUAUGACUUGGUUUUUUAACCUAUCUAAAGAUAUGUCACAUGUCCUUCAUUUUGGACACAUCGCAUCCAACUUCAUAACACUCUCCCUUGGAUGUCCAUGUAAAGAAAAAUUUACUGAAUACCUAUUUGAGUUGCCUCAUUAAAAACCUUACCAGGCAAACCCAGUGGGAUAAAACCUUGCUUGAGGAAAAAAAGAGUACAACGCGUAUUCUUGUUCCCCCUGAUGAAGACCCCGAUUCAACUGGUUCAGUCUUUGCAUUCCAAUCUUGUCUGCCAUCUUUUCAAUAGUUGAAGUUGAUAAUUUAGUGAACAAAUCUGUUGGAUUGUCACGUGAACAGACCUAUUGUACAAUAAUAUCACCAUUCUUCUGAAGAUCGUGCGUAAAGAAUAACUUUGACGAAAUGUGUUUCAUUUUAUCUCCUUUUAUAAAGCCUCUUUUAAUUGAGCUAUGAAUGCUGCAUUGUCUUUAAAUAUGACUAUGGAUACUUUGAUAUCAAACUUUAGGUCACAUCUCUCUUUGAUGGAAUGUAUCACUGAUCUCAACCUUAUACAUUCUCUACUUGCCUCAUAAAUAGCUAUCAUCUCAAUAUGAUUUGGAGAAGUAGCGAUAAUAGACUGUUUUGUAGAUCGUCAUGAUAUAGCAUACCUCCGUAUGUAAAUACAUAGCCUGUUUGAGAUUGUGCUUUAUGUGGGUCAGAUAAAUAACAUGCAUUUGUCUGACCAACAAGAUAUGAACUAGCUUUGUUGGCAUAAAAUAGACUCAUAUCAAUAAUCCCUUUUAGAUGUCUUAAUAUAUGCUUAACUUCGUUCCAGUGUCUUCGUGUAGGAGAAGAACUAUACCUUUCUAGCAAAUUAACAAAAAAUAUUAUAUCUGGCCAUGUAGCAUUAGCAAGAUACAUAGUUGCACUAAUAGCACUAAGAUAUGAUACUUUGUGACCAAGGAUCUCUUCACCCUCUCUAAAGGUCGAAACGGAUCUUUACUCACCUCAAGUGAUUGAAUAACCAUUGGAGUACUUAAUGGAUAUGUGUCCAUGUAAAAUCAUUUUAAAACCUUCUCAGUAUAGGCAGUUUGGUGGAUGAAGACCCCAUUUGUUAAAUGUUCAAUCUGCAGACUAAGACAAAAUGUUGUCUUUCCAAGAUCUUUCAUGUCAAGUUUUUUUUUAGAUAUUCAAUUUCCUUUUGGACCCUUUCUGGAGUUCCAAUGAGAUUUAUGUCAUCAACAUAAAUAACGAGUAUAACAAAUCCUGACGCCGUUUUCUUAAUGAAAAUACUAGGACAAAUGACAUCAUUUAUGUCACCUUCAUUUAUCAAGUACUCACUAAGGUGAUUAUACUACAUACGCCCUGAUUGAAUUAGACCAUAUAACAAUCUUUGUAAUUUUAUUGAGUAUAAUUCUCGAGAAUUUGAACUAUACGCUUCAGAUAUUUUUAAUCCUUCUGGGAUUCUCAUGUAAAUUUCAUUAUCAAGUUAUCCAUGAAGGUAGGUUGUAACCACACCCAUUAGUUGAAUUUUAAGAUUUUCAUGCACAACUAGACCGAUAAGGUAUCGAAAUUUUAUUGCGUUCAUGACGGGUGAAUAUAUUUCUUCAUAAUCGACACCGGGUCUUUAAGAGAAUCCUUAUGUAACAAGGCGUUUCUUGUAUCUUACAAUUUCAUUUUUCUCAUUUCUUUUAUGUACGAAGAGUCAUUUAUAACCAACUGAUUUAACACCAUCUGGAGUUUGGACUACAGGUCUAAAAUCCUUCCAUUUAGCAAGUGAGUUCAACUCUAGUUGAAUCGUCUCUUGUUAUUUUGGCUAAUCAUUUUUUCGCUGACAUUCUUCGACAGAUAGAGGUUCAAGGUUUUCAUCGUCUUGCAUAAUAUUUAGUGUGAUAUUAUAUGCAAAAAUAUUGUCAAUCGUAAUUUUGUAUAGAUCUAAAUUUACCUCAUCACUAGUAGGACUUAUUGAAAGUUCUUCAUUCACUUCAGUCUCGGGUUCAGUGAUUUCUUCAAGAAUAUUAGGAUUAAUCAGAUUUUGAGUCUCUUUUUUAAUGUAUCUUUAUCAUUUUUCAUGCUUCUUUUUUUAGAAUUUUUAUCCUUUGAAUCCAAUGGCCUACCAUGCUUCAGACGUGUUUGGGAUUCAGAAGCUAUGACGUUAGUCGAUGGCUCUUUUGAAACUUCAAUUCGGACAGGCACAUUCGCUGCAGGGAAAUAUGACUUAGUUACUCUUUUCAAAUCAGUAAAUGUGUCUGGCAUUUAAUUGCCAGUUUUUGUAAGUGAAUAAUCUUCAGGACCUCAUUUUCACAUAUGGGGGCAUGUGGGUCAAAAUGAGAUAAUGAUGAAACUUUUCAUACAAUUUCUUUUUUUAAGUUCAUGUUUCUCUUCUCCUAAUUAUGAAAAAUUUAUUUUAUCAAAUAGAUACUCUACAAAUCGAGCAGUAAAUAUGUAUCCUGUCAAUGGUUCAAGGUAGCAAAUUAUAGAGGGCGACUCAAACCCAACAUAUAUUUCGAACCUUCUUUGGGGGCCCAUCUUAGUGCGCUGUGGUGGUGCAACUGGCACAUAUAUAGCACAUUCAAAAAUUCGUAGAUAAGCUAUAUUUAGAUCAUGACCAAGGACCAAUUGUGACGGGAGUACUUAUUAUAAUGAGCUGGUCUGAGACGAACAAGUGAUGUUGCGUGCAAGAUAGCAUGACCCUAAAUAGUAGUGGACAAUUUCGUUUUCAUAAGUAGUGUUCUUGCUAUCAAUUUUACGCGCUUAAUAAAUGAUUCAGCAAGGCCGUUUUGAGUAUGAACAUGAGCGACAGAAUGUUCAUCUCUUAUCCCAACUGACAUACAAUAAUCAUCAAAAGUUUGGGAUGUAAAUUCUCCAACAUUGUCGAGGUGAAUAGCCUUAAUAGGAUAAACUGGGAAUUGCGCCCUUAAUCAUAUUAUUUGUGCCAGUAAUUUUACAAAUGCCAGGUUGCGAGAUGAUAAGAGACAUACAUGAGCCCAUCUUGGAGAUGCGUCUAUUGGGAUCAUAAAAUAUUUAAAUAGUCCACUGGAUGGGUGAAUAGGUCCACAUAUAUCCCCAUGUAUUCGUUCUAGAAAAAAAAAGAUUCGACAUUGACUUUCAGUGGAGAUGUUUAGUUAUUAGUUUGUCAUGAUAACAAGCAGUACAUGAAAAUUCAUCACUUGUAAGAAUCUCCGGGUUCUUCAACAUUCAUCUCAUCAUUAUUGAGUCAGGAUGACCUAUUCGAUCAUGUCAAAGCACAAAUUAUUUAGAUCGGUAAACUUCUGGUUACAAUAGAGUGUGCUUCAGUUGUACUAAUUUAUGCAUAAUAUAAAUCAGUAGACAAAGUUGGUAAUUUCUCCAACACGUGUUUUUGAUCUGAGACAUUCUUGGUAAUGCCAAGAUAUUCAACAUUCAGUUCGUUUAUUGUCUCAAUAUGAUAUUCAUUUCGGCGUAUAUCUUUAAAGCUCAAUAAGUUUCUUGAAGAUUUAGAGGAGAACAAUGCAUUUUCUAUAACUAGUUUGCCCCCUUAGGCAAAAAUAUAGUAGCUCUUCUGGAGCCUUCGAUUAGUUUUGAAUUAUCAGAUAUGGUUGUAACACUUGAUUUUCUUCUAAGUAAGUGGAAAAAGUAUUUCUCAUCUUUAAAUAUAGCGUGCAUUGUUCCACUAUCAAUUACACAAAUAUCGUCACGAUCACUUAUUGAUACAAAUAAAAUUUGAGAAGUAUCCAUAUAUUCUUCAAGAUAAAAAUAUGAACAAAGUAAAUAUUAUAGCAUUACUAUCACACAACAUAUUAUACAAACUUUAUUUAUUUACAAGACUAGUGAGAUACUACUAACAAAAAUGUAAACAAUACGACUUAACAGAAAAGCAAACCACUCAGACUAUUGCAGAUUUGUCACCGAUACGGUGACUAACAUAUCCUUCAGAGACUGCAAAGAAAUCUGCGACAUCUAAAUUCAUAGGCUCAACAUUAUCUUCAGAGAUAAAGUUUGCUGCUACAUUAUUUUUCAUUUUCUUGAGGGACGUCUGACAGAGAUUAAUCAGAUGCUUUGGUGUACGAAAAGUGCGCAAUCAAUGCCCCUUUCCUCCACACCGAUAAUAUUUAUUUUCUAAGUUAUUCCUUUGAACUGCUUCAGCAUUUUCACCCCUUUUUUACACUUCUGGUAUUGAGGGUCAUUGUUUAGUUUAGGGCGAUUACCCUGAUUAAAAAUUUUUUCUCGAUCACAGCCACGACCACGACUGGGUCCAAGGCCUCUUUCACGCCUGAUUUGGUGAAAAUUUGCAGGAUUUACUUUAGAAAAUAAAGCAGUACCAGUAGGUCGACUUUCCUGAUUUCUCAUUAUAAGAUCAUUGUGUUGUUCAGCAACAAGAAGAUGUGAAAUCAAUUCAGAAUACUUUUUGAAUUUCAUAUCUCGAUAUUGCUGCUGCAGGAGCAUACUUGAGGCAGGAAAGGUACAGAAUAUUUUCUCUAACGUGUCAUGAUUGGUGAUAUUUUCUUUGCAUAAAUUUAAUUGCGAUUUAAUUUUAAACAUGACAGAAUUAUAAGUAGUUAUAUUUUUAAAAUCUUGUAACCUCAAAUGAGCCCAUUCAUAAUGUGUCUGUGGAAGGACGACCAUCUUCAGGUGCUCAUAUCUCUCUUUUAGGUUAUUCCACAAUAUAAUAGGAUCCUUAAUAGUGAGGUAUUUCAUUUUCAAGCCUUCGUUAAGAUGAUGACGGAGAAAUAUCACGGCCUUGGCACGGUCUUGAUUCGAUGCCUGAUUAUCAUUUUUUAUGGUGUCUGUCGGACCCAUCGCAUCCAAAUGAAUUUCAGCAUCAAGUCACAGGAGAUGUAGGUUUUGCCCGAUAUAUCUAGGACAACGAAUUCACGUUUAGAUAUUUUGAUAUUAUUUUAAGAAAAGUAAAUUCUUACCUUUACUAUCGUUGAAAUUUUUUUGCAGAGACUCUUACUGAUAACAUGAUAUAAAGUUAUGUAUGAAAGUAACAAAGGAUAAAGAAAUAACAAGAUAGUCUCUAUAAUGGAGUAGUGUAAAAUUAGUAGUCUCUUAUUAUUGAUCAUGGCUAUUUAUUGCCAAAAGACAAAGAUGAAAACUUAUCCAAAUAUAAAAAGGUGGAGUAUGACUUGAUUUUUAACCUAUCUGAAGAUAUGUCACAUGUCCUUCAUUUUGGAUACAUGACAUCCAACUCCAUAACAUUGUAAUUAUUUUAACCGAAAAUAGUAUAAUUUUUUAUAUAUUUAAUAGCGCAGUGACUGCAAAUUUUUUCUUUUAGCUUUUUUAUAAAAUUUUCUUAAAAAUAUGAAAUUAGAUCAUCUAUAUAUAUUAUAAAGCAAGGGACGAAGCACCAGAAGAAGUCACGUGGUAAAAUAAUGAGAAAUCACGUGGCUGUUUUUAGAACAAUUUAAAAGUAUUGUAAUAAAAUAUUUAUAAUUAGUUGAAUUUAAAUAUAAUAAAAUCUUUAUUAUAUAUUUGAAUUUGAAAAUAAUAAUAAUACUUUAAAAGAAAAAAGAAAAAAAAACUAUUAGCUUAAACCUAGCAACCAUAGUUGAAGAGUCCUAAUUAAACACUAACUAUUUCAUAAUAAUAAUUGUGAGAAUAUGAAUAGGAAUAGUAUACAAAAUCCUACUUAGAAAAGAAUUGUAAUGUAGUCUCUAUAAAUAGGAUGUCAAUGUAAUUAUGUAGACACAUAAUUCAAUAAUAUUUUUCUCUUAUAUUCUCACAAUAAAUUAGAGCCAAGGCCAUCCCAAAUCUUUGUCAUCGAUGUUGGGCCCCCAUAUUAUACUGUCCACACUCCAGUUAACGAGGCAUGGGAAUGCGGGGGAGUGUCAAGUAUACCACAUCAGAAAAAAGGAUGGGUAAUUGGUCUCUUUAUAUGAACUUGGACAAUCCUCUCCUCAUGAUCUAGCUUUUGAGGUUGAAUUAGGCCCAAAAUUCAUUCUUUACAUGUCAAGUAUACCACAUCAGAAAAAGGGAUGGGUAAUUGGUCUCCUUAGAUCAACUCGGACAAUCCUCCCCUCAUGAGCUAGCUUUUGAGGUUGAGCUAAGCCCAAAAUUCAUUCUUUACAUAUCAAGUAUACUACAUCGAAAAAGGGGAUGGGUAAUUGGUCUCCUUAUAUAGACUUGGACAAUCCUCCCCUCAUGAGCUAGCUUUUGAGGUUGAGUUAGGCCCAAAAUUUAUUCUUUACAUGGUAUUAGAGAGUUGAUGAGAAAUUUUAAAAAAGAAAACUCAGUCAUUGUGAGUCAAUUUCGAUGACUGAUUUGUGUCUUUUUUUAUUUUGUGGGUUGUGUAAAAAAUACAACACCACCAAGUGGAUCGGCAAGAUCAGGCGACUGAAACCCGACCAAAACCGCCGGAAAAAUAUCAUCCACACGUCUAUCAAAGUUCUAAAAUUCCGGCGAGAUCUGCUUACGCGCCGGCGCAUGAGCCUAUUUCCAGUCGAUUUUCUGAGUUGUUCUUUUUUUUAGGGGGUCGUCAUCCAUUCCGCUCCGACCAAUUACUUUUUACCCAAUUUCGACAAUAUUUGAAGAUUCUGACCGCCAAAACCCUAAUUCCGGUGAGGAUUUUUCAUUCAGAUUUGGUUCUUGGGAUUUUCAAGUCAAAUUCUCAAGAUGCCUUUUGGGGAUGAUAUUUUUUGCUCCAAAAAUACUGAAAUUGGAAGUUCAAGUCCUAUGAUUAAAUCUGAGGCCUUAAUGAGAAGAUUAGAAAAUCAAACAUCACAGUCAAUGAAGAAUCGACGAGGGAAAAGUUGAUUUGGAAUAUCUCAAUCUAAGUGUAGUUAUUGUAAUAGGCUUGGACAUAUUUGUGGAAUAUGCUAUUUUUUGCAUGGUCGACCAACUAAAAAUGCUUAUGUUGCUCAGUCUAACACCACAUGUAGGGAUGCUUAUCGAUUGGAUAAUUAUGUUUAGCGGUUCGGCUUAUUGGUUAUCGGUUUUUAAAUAUACUAAUCCGCUAGCCACCCAAUAAGAUAACGGUUGGUUCAGUAUCGGAUUAGCAAUUAAUGGACGGAUAUCGGAUGGUGUAACAAAUAAAUUUAAGAGAGAAUGAAAUAUCGAGCGAUUAUUGAUAGUUCCUCCAUUUCUUCACCGACUAAGUUGUUUGUAUACUAUGAUUGAUCUAUUUAUCAAUCUUUUAGGCUUCUUGAGUUUUGUUCGUGUAGUUAUUUAAUAGGUUAAAACAUCAAAUCAAAUAAGCUUUUUCUUCUAGACCUAAAAUGUAUGUAGAAACAUUUUUAAUUACUGAAUUGACAGAAAAAAAUUAAAACUUUAAUAUUGUUUGAAUAUUUAUGUUUAAUAUCAAACUUUGUGAAGGACACAUUUGGGUUGUUUCAUUUUUAUUACGGUACUUUGUGUUGUCAAGAAUAAUUUAUGUUUUAGUUUAAGAAUUAAUUUCAGAUUUUCUUUAUAUUUUUGGGAGUCUGACUGCACUUUAUGGUUAGAUAUCACAAGAAGUGGCAUGUCAUUUUCUAAACUAAGAAGGGAAUAGAAUAAUAAAUGGAGUUUUAUAUGUUAGAUUGACAAAAGAUACUUAUAUAUCUAAGGAUAAAAAAAUAAUUAUAGUAAUUCUUAAUGGGUUAACGAUUUACCCGAUAAGAAAAUUGAGUAAUCCAUCUCCGCACCAACAAGCCAUUAAUUAUAAAAUUUGGAUCUGUUCUCCAACCAUUAAUCCGAUAAUCCAUUGCCAAUUAUCCAAUAAACUAAUUUUGUGGUUGGGUUAAUGGUUACGGUUCGAUUUUGAAUAGCCCUAACCACAGGUGAUCAAUGGGUGUAUUUAUUUGACAAGGAAUAUAAUGAGUAUCUUUGGUAUCGAUCAAAUCAACAUAUAUCUCUACUAAUAGCCUCAACUGUACAAUCUCCUACCUUUGGAUCAUGGGUUGUGGACUCAGGUGCUUCUGAUCAUAUUUCUGGUGACAAAUCACCUCUGUCUAAUAUUGUUUACUCAUAAUCUCUUUCUGCUAUUACUUUAGCCAAUGAAAUCUGAACAGAGCCAAAAGGAGUUAGACAAGCCAAACCUCUCUCUUCUGUCACUCUAGACUUUGUUCUUUAUGUCCCUGGUUGUCCUUUCAAUCUUGCAUCUGUUAGUAGUUUGACACGUGCCCUUGAUUGUAGUAUAACUUUUUUUAUAAUUUUUUUCUGAUACAGGACUGUAAAAUGGGACAGACAAUUGGCAUAGGACAUGAAUCAUAAGGCCUUUUACCAUCUUACCUCUUCAAAUUCCUUCACAGCAUGCUCCGCUAUAGAUCCUCCCGACCUUAUUCACAAAUGUUUAGGACAUCCGAGUCUAUCCAAGCUACAAAAAAUGGUGCCUAGUUUGUCUAGUCUAUCCACAUUAGAUUAUGAGUCGUGUCAACUUGGGAAACAUACCCGUGCUACAUCUUCACGUAGUAUUGAGAGUCACUCAGAGUCUAUUUUCUCAUUAGUUCAUUUUAAUAUUUGCGGUCCUGGUAGAGUCAGUUCACCCUUAGGAUUUCAUUACUUUGUUACUUUCAUCGAUGAUUUUUCAAGGUGUACUUGGGUUUACUUGAUGAAAGAUCGUUUUGAGUUAUUCUCUAUAUUCAAAGGUUUUUGUGCUGAAAUACAAAGUUAAUUUGGUGUUUCUAUUCGUGCUUUUCAUAGUGAUAAUGCCUUAGAAUACUUAUCCUCCAGUUUCAAGAGUUUAUGACUCAUCAAGAAAUCAUUCACCAGAUAUCAUGUCCAUACACCCCUCAGCAGAACGAUAUAGCAGAAAGGAAAAUUAGACAUCUCCUUGAGACUGCCCGCACUUUUCUCAUUGAAUCCCAUGUUCCACUGUAUUUUUGGGGCGAUGUAGUCCUUGUAUCUUGCUAUCUCAUUAAUAAAAUGCCAUCAUCUUUGAUCUAGAAUCAGGUUCCCCAUUCCAUACUAUUUCCUCAGUCACAUCUCUACUCUAUCCCCCCUUGUGUUUUUGGGAGCACAUGUGUUGUUCAUACCUUAGCCCCAGGAAAAGAUAAAUUAGCCCCUCAUGCUGUCAAAUAUGUUUUUCUUAGUUACUCUCGAGUUUAAAAGGGUAUCGAUAUUAUUCACCUGAUCUGGGUUGCUACCUUAUGUCCGCUGAUGUCACAUUCUUUGAAUCUCAACCUUACUAUACAUCUUCUAAUCAUCUUAAUAUCUCUGAGGCUUUACCCAUACCUCCAAUCUUACCCGCUCCAGUCUUUGAGAAAUCUAUGGUUACUUCUAUAUCUCCAGCUACAGUGCCACCACUUUUAACUUAUCACCGCCGCCCACGUCUAGCAUUAGUCCCAGAUGAUUUAUGUCAUGCGCCUGAUGCUUUUCCUACUGCGAACCUGCCUCUUUCUAGCCAAUAAAUUGCACUUCAAAAAGGUAUAAAAUCCAUGUGUAAUGCUAACCCAUAUUAUACUUUCUUGAGUUAUCAUCAUUUGUCAUUACCCCAUUAUGCUUUUGUAUCAUCUUUGUCCUCUUUUUCCAUCCCUAAGACUACAGGUGAAACAUUUUCCCAUUCAGGAUGAAAACAAGCUAUGAUUGAUGAGAUGUUUGGUUUACAUACUAGGGUACUUGGGAGCUUGUUUCCCUUCCUGCAGGUAAAUCUACUGUUGGUUGCCGUUGGGUUUAUACAAUCAAAGUUGGUCCAGAUGGUCAGGUUGAUCGGUUGAAGGCUAGCCUUGUUGCCAAAGGGUAUACACGGAUAUUUGGGCUUGAUUAUAGUGACACUUUCUCUCCCGUGCCUAAAAUAGCAUCAGUCCAUCUUUUUCUCUCUAUGGCUGUCGUUCGUCAUUGGUCUCUUUAUCAGUUGGAAAAGAAUGUUUUUCUGCAUGGUGAUCUCGAGAAAGAAGUCUAUAUGGAGCAACCACCUAGUUUUGUUACUCAAGGGGAGUCUAGUAGCCUGGUAUGUUGAUUGUGCAAGUCACUCUAUGGUUUGAAACAGUCCCCUCGAGCCUGGUUUGAAAAUUUUAGCAAAGUGAUUCAGGAGUUUGGCAUGAUUGUAGGGAAGCUGAUCAUUCAGUGUUUUAUCGCCAUUCUGAACCAAAUAUGUGUAUUUAUUUGGUGGUUUAUGUUGACGAUAUUGUUAUCACCGGCAACGAUCAAGAUGGCAUCACUAACUUAAAGCAACAUCUCUUUCAGCAUUUCUAAACUAAAGACCUUGGCAGACUGAAAUAUUUUUUAGUUAUUGAGGUUGCUCAGUCCAGAUCAGGUAUUGUUAUUUCUCAACGCAAGUAUGCUUUAGACAUUCUUGAGGAGACAAGAAUGAUGGGAUGUCGACCCAUUAACACUCCUAUGGAUCCAAAUGCUAAACUUCUGUCAGGACAGGGGGAGCCACUCAGUGAUCCUAGAAGGGGCUGACUUUUACAAGUAAUAAUUUGUGGUGCAGUGGAUGGGGCUGCUCCACCCUUAACCAGAGAUCGAGGGUUCGAUUCUGGGUAUGGAAAAACUCUGUUGGGAGUGCUGCCACCUUAAUGGGCCUUGCAACGCGCGAUUCGGAUUAGUCGGGGCUCCAAUGCGGGCACCGGAUGGAAAACCAAAAAAAAAAAGACAUGUAGUAGUAAUUUUUUUAUUUAGAAAAAAAAUAUUGCGGUAGCAAUAGUAGUUUUUACAAACAAUAAUAAUUGAAGUAGUAAUAGUAGAAGACAUGUAGUCGUAAUUUUCGUUUAUUUAGAAAAAAAUGUUGUGGUAGCAGUAGUAGUCUUUAUAAACAAUAAUAAUUGAAGUACUAAUAGUAGAAGACAUGUUUAGUAAUUUUUCAUUUAGAAAAAAAAAAGGUUGCGGUAGCAAUAGUAGUUUUUGUAACAACAACAACAACAACAACAAUAAUAAUAAUAAUAAUAGGUUAUUGAAGAGAAAAUCUUAUUGUUUGUUAUUGCAGUUUUUUAAAAAAUAUUUGAAAGUGAAAAAUAGUAGGUUUUUAGAUUUAAAAAAUAGCAUAUUUUUAUUAACUUAAAACUAGGAAAUCAUGAGUGGAGAGUAGUAAAUACAUAAAUUUAUACAUUUUAAAAGCUAUAAAAUAUAUUUAUAUAUUAAAUAUAAAAUAUUAAUUUUAAAAAUUAUCAUUAUUCUCUCAUUGAUUUCAGAUAUUUAUCUCAAUUCAAAUAUAUAGAUAAGAUAACUUUGUAUUAUAUUUGAAAAAAGAAAGAUUAAGGAAGACUAAUAAACUAGAUAAUUAUGAUAGUAUUUGAAUUUGAUUUUAAAUAAAAUUUGAAUUGGAAUGGGAUUACAUCUUCUUAGGCUCUCUUAUAUAUACUCCUAUAUAUCACUAGCUUUAUUCAUGAAUUCAUUUACUGCAUUUUUAAAUUUUUCAUAUUUUAAAAACUAUUUUUGAUUUAACAUUUUUUUAUAUGCAGGAAGAAUAUGUCAUUUUUAUCUUCAUCUUCCUUCAUUAUUGUUCAAGGUGCACCAAUUUAAUCAAUCUAUUUUUCUUAAAUUUGUAAAAGUCAACCUUUUGUUGUUUUUGAACAAUGUAUAUACAUGCAUUACAUGUUUUACUAUGUACUAAACUAUCUGAAAAUUAUAAUAUGUGGAUGUUCAUGGUACCAUCACAAAUAAUAUUUUGUAUAAUAAUUAUAUAUCAUACUUUUCAUCUAUUUUUACAUUUUAAAUUCAUGAAUCUUGAUCAUUUCAAGUUACAAAACAAACAUGUUUUUAGUUCUACAAAUAGUACUGUUAAUUUUUUUUUGAUUUGAUAAAUAUUAUUGUUAUAAAAGUACUAUCAUUUAUAUAUAAUAUUUUUAUCUAUCAAAAAAAAAUAAUUCAAGAUUUUGUAUACCUUCAUUCUUAUUUUUUAUCACUGAGUUUUUUUAAUGAUUUUAUGGAUGUGCUCAUUAUGAAAGAAUUUAAUUUUCAUGGAAGAUAUUUUUUAAGAAAACAUAUUCUUUCUUAUUUAUAUUUUUUGUUUGGGACGCAAAUAAAAAAUAUUUUCCUAAAAGCAUAUAUGUAUUCUAAUACUAAACAAUAAAAAUGAAUAGUAACAAAAAGAUGAAUAUCGUCGGAGUGAGUUGGAAUAGGUAGAGACGGUGUAAGGGGGUGGUUUAGGUGGGUGGAGGGUCGGGGUGGUGAAUGUAGGUUUAAUUGGGGUGGAAUAGGAAAAAAAAUUCUUAAAAAAUAUAAAUGAAGGAGUUUAAAAUUUUUUGGGAUUAGAAAAAAUAUUUUAAGAAAAAUUUUCUAAAAAUAAAAAUAAUUUUUUUUUUGGAGGGGGGGGGGGGGGUUUGGGGGGGGGGGGGGGGAGUUUGUGGUGAGGUGGGUGGUGUUAAGAAAAAAAAGUUUCUUUUUUUAAAAAAUAAAAUAAAUAUUUUUAGCUGUUGGGGGAGUCAGGAGGGCGAAUUGGGGGUAGGGAGUUGGGAAGUGUAAGAAAAAAAAACUUGAGAGUUUACAAAAAUAAAAUAAAAAUUAUAGGGGUGCGCGGGAUGGAUGAUUUUGAGAGUGGGAUGAGAGAUUUUAAUUAAAUUUAUUUAGAAGAUAUAAAUAUACGUAUAAAUAAAAUACUUAAAAUAAUUAAUGAUAUAAUCAAACAAUGAAAAAUUAUGAGCAAUUAAAUUUUAUUUGAAAAUUUUAAAAAUAUUAAAUUGUAUGUGCUUUAUUUAUUGAAUUAAGAGUAGUGAAAUUUAAAUUUUGAAAUUAGAGUUUUUUGUAAUUGACACAGUUAAGUGUUUUGAAAUGAAAUAGAAAGAUAAACCUUUUUAUUAAAAAGUGUAGUUAGUUGUUGAAGUUGAAUUGAUGGAUUAAAAUAAAAAAAAUGAAAAUGUGAAAUGAAGGUAAGGAUUGUAAUUAUAUUUCUUAAUUUAUUAAAAAUAUAAAGGUAAAAGCCCAACAACAAAAGUAAUAAUUAUUUAAUAUUAAAUAAUUUAUUAUAUUUAAAAUUAAAGAGGUGGCAGGGGUGGAGAUGGUUAGGGUUAGAUUUGCUUUUUUUUUUUUAAUUAUUUUUUAUUAAUAAAUAGUAUGACACUUAAAUUUUCUUAAGGUAAUAUGAUUUAAAAUGCUGGAACGAGAUAUGUCAAUAUAAAAUAAUUAAAAAUAAUAUUUUAAUAUUAUCAGUGUAUCGCACGAAUACAUAUACUAGUAUUCAUUAAAAGAAAAAAAAGAAGAUAGUAUUGCAUUUUAAAUUAUACAAUAAAUAAAAAUAAAUAUGACAGAUUGUGCGAAAGAUAAAUUAUUAUGUGAAUAAACUUAAGAAAUAGUGAUAAACUCUAAUUAUCAAUCAACGAUACUUUAAUCAAUUACCAAAUAUAUCAGUAGUUUAACAUAUCAAUUUGUUAUGUAUCAAUAUAUUAAUUCGCUUGUAAUGGAGAAAAUUAUAGUUAAAACGAUCUUAUCAUCACAAAAAAUAAGAUAAAUUUAUUGAUAUUUCUUUAAUUUUAUUAGCCUUUAAUUCAUCCAUUGACUUUUUUCUUGUUUAUGGGUUAUAAAUUAUAAUUCUCCUUUAGUCCAAUCAUUAAAGUCCUUCAAAUCCUUUUUCCUUUGAAACUUUGUACGAUCAACAUUUGACAAAAGGGAUACCUUAUCUAUAUAUACACACGGUCUCUUUUUAUGAACGAUAUAGAACAGAAAACAUUCUUCCUCGAAAAAAGGGAUAUCUUCUAUAUAUAUACACUAUGUCUCUUUUUAUGGAAGCUAAAGAAAACAAAAAAUAUUCUUCUUCUAAUAUAUUAAAGUUUUUUAGCUCCAAAUUUUUCUCUUAUACUAGUUUAGGCAUACGCACUUUGCACGUGUACCUCACUUUAUUGAGUUCAAACGUUACACUAAAUAAGAUAUUUGUUUAAAUAAUAAAGAUGAAUGCAAUAAUUAAAUUCAACAUCUUUUGAAGAAUUUAUUUAAUUAAACCUAACAUUUAUCAAAAAAAAUUUGUCAAAGCCGAUCAACAUUGAUCUACCACCUGUAACUGAUAAGCCGUCAUUUGACGACUUUCUAGUACCUUUUAAGCCUAAAUUAUCAUGUUUUUUUGAUUGAUUUCCGUUGAUUUGAUAUUUAUCUCAUACUUAAUGCUCAUUUAUGUAGGAAAAGUUGAAAAGGGAAGAUGAGCAAAUCUUUCAAGUCAAAAGGAGGUCAAAUGUGAAAUUAAAAGGCCAUCCGCUUUUCACCUACUCUCCACCCGCUUAAGCAGAUCAAGAGCGAGGUGACAUUUUUGUAAUAUUGGGCAAAUGUGGAAUUGAGCUUAAAUAGGGGAUUUUAGUUCAUUUUCAUCAUCUUUUAUCUAUCUUCCAUCACUACACACUCCUCCAUCUUAACUUAGAUUAGGGUUUGUAAUUUCUUGGAGCUUGGAGCCUAAUUUGUACUAAUUUUGAGCUAAGAAGACAUUAGGGUGACUUUCAAGUGAAGAGUUAGCUAAUUUCAUUGGAGAUUUGUGGAGAUUUAAAGUUUCGUUUGCAUUCUUUUUAUUCUUCAUGAAUUUGUUUGAUAGAAUUCAUGGUUUAUUUGUAUUUAUUGUCUUUAUGUUUUGCUAGUUCUUCCUCUUGGGAUUAUGCUUGAAUAGGGUGCAAGUGUGUGGGUUGUGAUGUAUUUGUGUAGAUUUUAGUUUGUUGAUGAUAGAUUCUAAUAUUGCCUGAUUCAAUAGGUUGAGAUUUGAUGGGUAAAAGCUCCAAAUACUCACAUGGGUUUAAUGGGUGAGAACUCCAAACUCUAGAAAGCUCUAAGCCAUCUUUGAAAGAAGAGUUUUGGGUGAAACCAUCUUCGAAAGAAGAGUUUUGGGUGAACUUUAGAAACUCUCAUCAUCCUUGAAAGAGGGAUGUGGGAACCAAGACAAUAGUGGACAAUUUAUGGGCAUAGUUUACUAAUUUUCACUAUCUUAAAAAUAAGGGUGAAUAUGAGGUUGAUUAUCCCUCGGGUUCCAUCCUAGAAAUAGGGGUGCCUAAUUGAGGUAUUAGGUGGCUUUAGUUGCACACUCGUUAGGUACUCAAAAGGGUCAACGAGUGAAAGCAUUGAGGCUUUGUUGAAAAAUUAGCCUCAAGGACUUUAAACCUAGCCUACCAUAUCAUCAACAACUAGAAUUGGCAUUAAGUCAUUACAUACCCAUGCAUAUCUUGCCCCUAGGAUAACAUAGUUCCAAGAUCCGCUCCUAAUUGUUUACACUCUAAUCAUUCUUAGUCUUGAAUUAGGUCUUUAGAAGCCCAAAAAUUAUUUUCAUGAUUGACAUCCAUUUCAAACCCCCAAACUAUUUUGUACAAUAGGUUUGAAUCUAGUUAGUAGCUCUCGUUCCGAACCUACUUAAUGGCCAUUCAUAUUGUUUCCCGUGGAUUCAACCCCAACUCCUAGUUGGGUAAAUAUAUUGACAACGACCGUCUUGCACUUAAUUAACGUGUAAUAAAAAAUGGACGCUCAACUUACACUUUUAAUUAGUUAAGGGGGUAAUAGACCCCUCUUUAAGUUGAGGUGUGUCAUAACCUUUUUGGAUAUAGUUCAGGGGGGUAAUUGGGUAUUUUCUCUUAUUAUUAUUAUUACUAUUAUUACUUUUUUUUAUUAUUAUUAAUAUUACCAUUACUAUUAUUACUUUACUUUACUAUUAUAUAUAAGUGAAGGUUGAGGUGACUAUCAAGGGUAUUUCGGUAAUUUUAGUGACCCAAUCUUUACUUAUAUAUAGUAGUAAAUAAAAUGGUUACACAUGCAUAUGAUUUUUUCCUUAUAUUUAUUAGUUUUAUCCUCAUUUUUAUUGUGCAAUAAAAUGGUUACACAAGCAUAUUAUUUUUUUCUUAUAUUUAUUAGUUUGUCCUCAUGUAUUAUUUUAAUAACAUUUUUAUUUAGACCUUUGUAAUUGAAUUAUACAUGUUACUAUUUUUUUAUAAAUAUCUUUUUGUUCCUUAUUAAGUGACUACCAAUGGUAUUUCAAUAAUUUUAUGAUGCAAUAAAAUGGUUACACAUGCCUAUUGAUUUUUCUUUAUAUUUAUUAGUUUUGUGCUCACUUUUAUGGUGCAACAAAAUGGUUACACAUGCAUAUUAUUUUUUUCUUACAUUUAUUAGUUUUGUCUUCAUGUAUUAUUUUAAUAAUAUUUUUAUUUAGACCUUUGUAAUUGAAUUCUACAUGGUAGUAAUUUUUUAGUAAAUACAUAAAUACCCUCCUGAUGUUGGUUGACUUUUUCAAAAAGACACCUAAACUAUACUUUCGACCUAUUACCCCACAAAUCUUACUUAAAUCGUUGCAAAUAUACCAUUUUUCGUUGAAUUUCAGUCACAAGAAAGAGAGUGAAUGCACACACCAAUCAGAUGCUGCCACGUGUUAAAUACAUUUAAUUACAUAUUUUAUUUAUUAAUAGAGUUAUUCUUAAUAAAAAUAGUUAAAUGAUUAUUUCAAAAGACUAAAAAAAAAAAACUUUAAUGGAGGUGUUGAAGAAGGCAAUGAUGGCUAAUAUACCAUCUCUUUUUUAUCCUUUUUAAUCUCUUUAUCAUUCUUCAAUUCAAGAUCAAACUUUUCCAACACUAUAACAAUAGUCUAAGGCAUAUUAACUUUUACUGUUUAGCAUUUGAAGGUGUAAAAAUGUAAUCGAAAAAGUUGUUUGUAUUAGCAUUCAAUUACAUUCUUAGCAUUCAAUCUAAUACUAUCAAAAUAUUUCAAGGUGUAAAAAUUAAAUGCUAAAAUAGCUUUUUUGUUCAAAAAGACAACUAAAAAACUGUUGAAUAAAUGGAGAAGACAACCAGUUAAUACCACAUGUCAAUUUUUUAUUGGCUUGAGGAUGAAUUUUAAGUUAAUUGACAAAUAAAUUACACUCGGCAACUUUUAAUUGGUUAAAAGAGUCAACUUUUAAGCAAUUCACGCGUCUCCUAUGCGUGUCUACAUGUAGAGGCAAAAUUUUGAUCAAAUAGUGUAUUUACAACGAUUUAGGUAAGUUUCAUGGGGUAAUAGAUCGAAAGUAUAGUUUAGGUGUCUUUUUGAAAAAGUCGGCCAACAUCAAGGGGGGUAUUUAUGUAUUUUCUCUAAAUAUUUUUUUGUUCCUUAUUAAAUGACUAUCAAGGGUAUUUCAAUAAUUUUAUGGUGCAAUAAAUAUUUCAAAAUCGGUGUAUGUCUCCUAAACUUAUAUAUUUGAAACUUUCAAAUGAGACGUGUAUAGUGUACUUUUCCACGAAUGUCCAAACGAAAGACGUGCCACCAACUGUAGUUGCAACAAUCUAACUAGAUUUUUAUCCACUUAUAUAAUCACUUUUGUAUUGGUUGGACCAGUCUAGUAAGCUCAAUUUUGUUCCACACUGAAUGUAUAUAUUAUGUUAACAUCGGUUCAUUGUACUACAUUUCUUUUCUUUUACUCCUAUACUAAAUAAUUAAAACAAGUAGGAAGUAAUCUUCCCCAAAGUUGGAUCUCGUUUGCACAUUAGUGCUGCCAAAAUGCCCGUGCCUUGUACGGGCACAGGUAUCUAGUAUUACUAAAAGAGCUUAUUGAAUCUUAGCGGAUAAAUCUUAACCGGUGAAAUAUCUUUAAGGACACUAUCAAAUGCAUGCCUCAAGCUACAAGAAUUUUCA